rnacentral:lncRNA from 1 species
AAAAGAAGAUUAAAAAAAGUGUACAAGGUCGUUAGAAAAUAUAAGAAAAUUAAGAAAAAGAUUAAAUACAUGUGUUUAUUUAUCCUAAUUAUUUUUUGUUUCUAAAAUUCGUUUAUAUUUCAUGAUUUUUUGUCUAGUGUAUGCAGUUAUGUGUUCACAUGGAUUUCAAAAUUUCUCAUAUUUUAGGAAAGGAAAUAAUUGUGAACUGCUUUUGCUCUGCAUGAUGAGUGAGAGCAUUGAUGGACAACAAAUAUAAUUGAAACAGUAACAUACAAAUAAGAAAAGUGGGUUCUAUUUUAUUCCUUCAAAGACAAGUUUAGAAUGAAAUAGACCCACUAAGAGGUUCAACAAAAGAGUUUGGUUCAGAAAUCCACUUUCCAAUCUACAAUGUUCUAAGAAUUAAUGUUUAAAGUAUUUCAAAACUCCAUUCUAAGAAUUAAGGGUUGUAUAGGACCUCAUCACAACCCAAUUUCAUACUUAUUUCCUCUGUAUAAUAUCAUGGUACACUGCUACACACCAACUUUGGAAGAGCUGUGGAAGAAAUAAGGUAGAAAGAAACAAAAGCAUAAGCACAUUGUUCCAUUUAAAUCAUUAACUUAAAAAUCAAGAAAGAAUGAGUGCAUCCAUCAUAAAUACAUCAGUAUACAAAUUUUUUAUAGAGCUGCAUGUUUAGAUUUUUCCAAUUAAAGUGCAGUUCUAAAGCUUCACAAUGUUAAUUGCAUUCACAGCUAGCUUCAUAUUUAGAUAAAAAAAGUGUUAAAAUAAACAAAUGUGCUGCAAUGGAGUUGGACUAGCUACAGCUUGAAUUGAAUACACUCAGAGAUUUGGAACUUUUCCCAAAAUCCUAUCAAACUCAGUCUUCAUUGAACACCAUAAGACUUAUUUUAAUACCUAAAAAUCUUGAUGAAAUAUCAAAGACCUUUUUAAUAAGUUCCUUAGAUACAGAAUGUCCUUUAUGUCCACUGCAGUUUCCAUUAUGUCCACUGCAGUUUCCAUUCAAAACUUCAUUUUUUGGAUCAUUUAGUUCCAGUGAUCUAUUAUUAAGUUUAAGUUCAUUUUUUUGUCAGAAACUGUAGUAACAUGAAAUAAGAACACAGAAUACUCUGUUCGGAAUGGAUGCCAAAUGCCAAACCACCUUCACGAUUUUCGUAGUAUUCUAAAAUUAGGAAACACAUUCGGUUGGAAUUUAAUUUCAACAGAAAAAUUGAAAUAAUUUUGCACGAAAAUAAGAGUAAAAUAAAAGUAAUUGAUUCAUGAAAAACGUAGUUGAGUUCAAGUAUAUCAUGUGCUGCUCUUCUUUGAAAAAUGGCAAUUAUAGGGUUACCGUUUGCAACUAAGAAAAUGGUAAUCCAAAAGGUACAAAGAUAUUGUGGAGAAUUCUAACCUGUUGAAGUGCCAGACAAAUUCAAAUAGGUGCACGCCUAAUUUUGAACUUCUGACUCAUCUUAUGAUCGAAUAUCCAGUUUUUGGAUGUGAGCAAUCUUUCCCCAGUCUUCGCCAUCUGGAUUCCGACAACGCUUCCCCAGCAAUGGACAAAUCAAGAUUUUAAGAGAAGAGAUGGAUUUGGGGAGACCCUCCGCUGGUAAGCAUUCAAGGCUGAGACAAAGAUCAAGUGAGAGAGAGGAGAGGUGGCAGAGACCCUUGUAGUGCAUCUUUUUAAGAUUUGGACACCAACGGACUUGUAGAGAGGUGAGAGAGCGUGGCAGCAAAACUUCAUCGGGAAAACACUCCACCUCCAAAUUUUCAAUAGACAAGGUUUGAAGAGAUGUGUUGGGAUCCAAGUUGUCUCUCAAGGAGGCGAUAACUUUUAAAGAUGAAAGAGAAAUAUGUUUUAUAUUUAAUGGCAAACCUCCAUCUGGGUGGUAAGCAUUCAAGGCUGGGACAUUGAAGAAGUCUGAGAGAGGAGAGGUGGCAGAUACCCUUGUAGUGCAUCUUUUUAAUUUAAAUCGACGGCAAUCUUCAAUACGUAGAUCCAUGAGAUGAUUAUGAGCGUACUCCUGUGAAAUUCUUUCUAUGUGGUGGCAGUGUAUCAGUUGAAGAGAACGGAGCUUUGGAAAGAAAUGUAGUGGAAAGAUUGUAAGAGAGUCCGUGCCUCCAUCAGUAUGCGAUGCGUCCAUACUGUUUCCGCUAAUUCUGAGCUCAUCACUAACAACUUCUUUCGUACCUUUCAGUUUCGGACAUAUAAACACAAGAAGCUGUCGAAGACGUGGAAAAGAAGUAGUUUUACACUCCCAUUCUUCCCAUUCCUUCAUAUUGACGAAUGACAGACUCUCCAAGGAUGCAAACGAAGAGUUGCUCCCAUAAAAUUCAGCACCAAUGCUCACUAUUCCAUCAAGCCCUGUAAUCUCAAGGGUCUUCAGUGAUGACAAAAGUCCAAGGGGAGGCAAACAUAGGCAGUAUUUACAGUUCCCCAACUUUAAGAUCACCAUAUUUGAAUUAUCGAAUUCCCAACUUGGGAAUUCUCUACCAUUGUAGUUCCUGAUUGACAAAGUCUCCAAGUGAUUGGAAGGUUGUAGAUUCUGAAGUACUUCCUUUUCUUUCUUUGGAUCAUCAGUGACGUGGUUCCACUUCCAUUGUAAUACUAGCUCCACAAGACGUUUAUCUUUCAAAUUUGCUUUUAAUGCAUCCAAAGGAUUCCCAAUAUUCUGCACGUCAUUGAUUGAUAGCCUUCCAUGAAGAUUGAGUCCUCCCAAUUCGCCCAGUUGCUUAGUACUUAGCUCACUGUUUUUAUCCACGAAAAACAUACUUAGUACUUGAAGAUUCUUCAAUUCUCCAAAAUGCAUUGGCAUCUUUCUCACUUUUGUAUCUUCAAAUCCCAGGCAACGCAAUUUGGUAAGCUUAUGCAAAUUUAAGGGAAACUCCUCCAACAUUGAACAAAAGCUCAACUUCAAUAUUAGUAAGUUAUAGAGCAAACAUAUCGAGUCAGGUAUCUUUUUUAUCUUAGUACACCACGAAAGAUCUAACGAAUGGAGAUGUUUAAGAUCACCUACAGAAUCCGGGACCUCUCUAAGGAAUGAACAACCACUAAAAGAUAACAUGCGUAUAAACUUAAUCUUGGAAAACAAAUCAUGUAUCGAAAUCUUGAAAUGCCACCAAGCUACCCAAGUUUCUGAGAUAGGAAGAAAUGAACGAAGUCUUUUAGCAUCAGUUAAACUCUCAAAACCAUCAAAACUUUUCACGUCACGGAAUUUAAAUGAAAAAUGACGGGUUGUUUUCGGUAUACAUUGGCGUUUAUCAUAUUUCAACCUGAAACAGAAAUCCGCACAUACAUAUUUUGCCAAAUCAUUCAGAAGGUCAUGCAUGACGAAACGCCCUACGAAGCUUGAUUGGUUAAAAAAACACCUUGACAGUAGAUCAUUGAAGUACUCUUCACCAAUUUCUUCUGGAUCUCUAAUAUGUUGUGGACUCAGUAGAAAAUUUUGGGCCAUCCACAAAAAAAUUAACUCCUCCUUCACAAACAAAUAAUCUUUGGGGAAUAAGGCACAAUAAGCAAAGCACCUUUUAAGAUGAGAAGGAAGAUAGCGAUAGCUCAAAAACAACGCAGGAAUAAUUUCACUGUGUUCUUUUGGUAACUCCCAUAUGUCACUUACCAAUAUGUUCUUCCAAUCUGAAAUGGAUGACUUUGUGCUCAAAAGACAUCCAAUUGUUUUGAGAGCUAGAGGUAAUCCCUUGCACUUCUUAACUAUUCUUCUACCAACCUUCAUUAACUCAUCAUUCAAUUCAAGAUCACCAUCUUUUAAUGCAUGAUUUUCAAAAACUUUCCAGCAUUCAUCCUUUCCUAAUUGCUUUAGAAGAUGCACUUCAGACCUCAUGCUAGAAGCAACUUUCUCACUGCGAGCUGUGACAAGAAUUUUACUUCCUGGAGCCCCAUAGCUAAGAGGAGUUCGCACAGCUUCCCAUUCUGUUGGUCUUUCGUUCCAAACAUCAUCCAAAACAAGAAGAAAUCUCUUUCCUAACAAUUUUUCUUUCAGUUUUUUGUGAACCAUUUCUAGGUUCCCAUUGUCAUCAUUUUGAUUUGUGAUUGCCUCAAGAAUUGUUCUUGUCACGGUCAAAACAUGAAAAUGAUCAGAAACACAAACCCAUGCUUUGAUAUCAAAUUUUGCAUCUUCCAUCUUAGGAUCACUGUACACAUGCUGGGCUAGGGUGGUCUUACCCAACCCACCCAUGCCCACAAUGGAAAGUAUUGGUGGCUGGUUAGGAUUGUCAGUUUCAGAUGUGAGCCAAUUAAUGAUUAUAUCUGCCGUAAAUAACACUUUCAACCACCAAAGAAGAUGAUGGCAAUUUCUGUGGCACGUUACUACCUGAUCCAUCACCAGAAUAAGUACACUCCUUCAAACCAAGAGCACCCUUUUGGUUUGCAAGAUAUUCUAGUUUCUCCAGGACUUCUUUCAUCUCUGAUUCAAUUUUCUUGUUAAAUGAAGUGAAAGUAGAGUUGAAGAAAUUUGAUACCUUGUAAGUAAAGGUUUGAGGUUCGUAUUGAGCUUGGACUUGGCAUCUGGUGAGUUCAUAGUCUAUUUCACCCAACAGAUCCUCUGCAUCAAAGACAGCCUCUUUGACAGCAACAAGCCAUGCUUUGACGUGUGGAUCUGUGAACUGCUUUAGUUCAGCAUCAUCAGCUAGAGCGUUGAUGGAGUGCAGCAUGAUGUUCAAAUUACCGAGGAGCUUCUCAUCAAGUUUUCUUCCACGAAAGAAGUCCAGAAGUUGAGCAGAAGCGAGCUUGUCGAAUGAAACCUGAAGAAAGGCCGAAAGAAGAGCACCACCAACAAGUUCUGCUGCCAUGGUAGGAGUUGGGAAUGGAGUGAAUGGAAGUGUGUGAUUUGAAAUGGAUGAAGUGCAUAGAUUGCUAUAGUGAUGAAAUGAGUGGUUAGCUAUUUUACGAAGAAGAAUGAGUCACUUUAAGGAGAGUGGAACAUCUUUUUCUUUGAUGGCUACUCAACCAAUAACUUUUAAGUCUUUUUCCGAUAACGAACGCAAACUUUGUCAGCUUUGUUCCGCAAUAUAAAAUGGGAGCUGUUUGAUAUUCAUUUAACAGUUGUGGUGAAAGUUUGAGAUCCUGAUAUGGAGAGAGUGGGCUGUGGGCCCAAGUUAAGCAAUAACUAUUGAGUCUUUCUGAUAAGAAAAGUGUUCACAGUUGUAAUCCAUUAAUGGAUGUGUGACAAUAAAUAAUAUUCUGACUUGAAAAUAUAAAAAGCAAUAUCUUUUCUACAACCUUUCUUUAUUCACUUAAUUUAGUUUAAUAGUGAUUUUUAUCUCUUUAUUUAUAAUUUAUAAUUCAAUUUUAUUAUUACUAGACAUUUAUGACUUUUUUUUAAUCAGAAAAGGCCCUUUAAUGACUUUAAUGGCUUACAGAUCAAUACAAAUUCGGUAUUAAAUCUGGUGUUCUUAUAGUUGGAAGACUAUAUUUACCUUCCCUUUGGAAUUUUUUUCAUCUCUGAAGAUCCUACAAAUUACAGGGCUUUUGAUGGAAUAGUGAGCAUUGGUAAUGAAUUUUUUUAAGUUAUAGAAUUUUAUAGCCUCAGACUAAUACUAAUAUUGAACUAUUAUUAUAGUGUUGUAGUUGACAUUAAUAUCAUGAACUUCACUCACACACACAAGUAUAUUGUAAAACAUCUAUUGCUUCUUCCAUUAACAAAUACAAGGACCAUUUUAGGUGCAACAAAUACUCAAGCUUUACGCAGCUAAUCUACAUCGAGUGACUGCUACACAAAUUCUCCUCUCCUAAUUUCAUAAACAAAUGGAAAUCCAAGGAGGAAAAGAAAAAAAAUUAAAAGUUAUUUGCAAUGCUCACAACUUCAAUGCCACCUCCCAACUCAGGAAGAAAUCAAAUACAAUUCCAAGGUCUAAGAAUGUAUGUUUAGAAGCAUUUACAUUUCACAACUUCCUUUGCUUCAAUUUUUCUCUGAGGUGUAUUAGUUUUCCCUGGACCUGUUUAGGUAACUCAUCAUCUGAUGAUAACCCAAUUUCAAUCCCUUCUACUUGUUCUCUCUGUAUAAUAUCAUGGUACAUUGGUAGAAACCCUCUUUGGAAAGACCUAUAGGAGAAAUAGGGUAGCAGCACACACAAGAACAAAAGGGUUACUAGCCAAUACAUUACAAGAAAAUCACCAAAUAGAAACCAAUUUUUAGAAACCAAAAUAAUUAGUUGCAAUAAUAACUAAAUUAGACACCAUUUUAGAAACUAAAACAAAAAUUGGUUUCGAAAUUAGUUUAUAUUAUUUUCUAUUAUUGUUAAAUAGUUUCUAAAUUUGUAUCUAAUUAGCAACCAAUGUUUUAUCUACCAAUUAUUUAGUUUCAGUUUCGGACAUUUAAACACAUAAAGCUCUUGAAGACGUGGAAAAGAAGUAGUUUUACACUCCCAUUCUUCCCAUUCCUUCAUAUCGUAGAAUGCCAGUCUCUCUAAGGAUGCAAAGGAGGAGCAAUGCUCACUAUUCCAUCAAGCCGUCUAAUCUCAAGGGUCUUCAGUGAUGACAAAAGUCCAAGGGGAGGUAAACAUAGAGAGGCAAACAUAGACAGUAUUUACAGUGCUGCAACACUAAGCACACCAGAUUUGAUAACGAAUUAUCAAUACCCAACUUGGAAAUUUUGUACCACUGUAGUUCGUGAUUGACAAACUCUCCAACUGAUUGGAAGGUUGUAGAUUCUGAAGUACUUCCUUUUCUUUCCUUGGAUCAUCAGCGAUGUGGUCCGACUUCCAUUCUAAUUCUAGGUCUACAAGGUGUCUAUCUUUCAUAUUUGCUUCUAAUGCAUCCAAAGGAUUGGAAAUAUUCUGCACUUCUUUGAUUGAUAGCUUUCUUCCAUAAAGAUUGAGUCCUCCUAAUGCACCCAGUUGCUUAGUAAUUAGCUCACUAUUUCUAUCCACUAAAAUCGGAUUUAGUACUUGAAGAUUCUUCAAUUCUCCAAAAUGCAUUGGCAUCUUUGACACUCUUGUACCUUUAAAUUCUAGGCAACGCAAUUUGGUAAGUUUAUGCAAAUUUAUGGGCAAUUCCUCCAACUCGUAACAAUUGUUCAACUUCAGAAUUAGUAAGUUAUAAAGCAAACAUAUCGAGUCAGGUAGCUUUUUUAUCUUAGUACACCACGAAAGAUCACCUACAGAAUCUGGGACCUCUCUAAGGUAAAAACAACCACGGAAAGAUAACACGCGUAGAAAAGAUAACACGCGUAUAAACUUAAUUUUGGAAAACAAAUCAUGUAUCGAAAUCUUGAAAUGCCACCAAGCUCUCGUUUUUGAGAUAGAAAGAAAUGAACGAAGUCUUUUAGCAUCAGUCAAACUCUCAAAACCAUCAAAACUUUUGACGUCACUGAAUUCAAAUGAAAAAUGACGGGUUGUUUUCGGUAUACAUCGGCCUUUAUCAAAUUUCAACCUGAAACAGAAAUCCACACAUACAUAUUUUGCCAAAUCAUUCAGAAGGUCAUGCAUGACGAAACAUCUCCCACCACCUGAUUGUUGAAAGAAAGACCUUGACAGUAGAUCAUUGAAGUACUCUUCACCAACUUCUUCUGGAUGUCUAAUAUGUUGUGGACUUUGUAGAAAAUUUUGGGCCAUCCACACCAAAAUUAACUCCGCCUUCACAAACAGAUAAUCUUUGGGGAAUAAGGCACAAUAAGUAAAGCACCUUUUAAGAUGAGAAGGAAGAUAGCGAUAGCUCAAAAAUAACGCAGGGAUAAUUUCACUGUGUUCUUUUGGUAACUCCCAUAUGUCACUUUCCAAUAUGUUCUUCCAAUCUGAAAUGGAUGACUUUGUGCGUAAAGACAUCCAAUUGUUUUCAAAGCUAGAGGUAAUCCCUUGCACUUCUCAACUAUCCUUCUACCAACCUUCAUUAACUCAUCAUUCAAUUCAAGAUCACCAUCUUUUAAUGCAUGAUUUUCAAAAACUUUCCAGCAUUCAUCCUCUCCUAAUUGCUUUAGAAGAUGCACUUCAGACCUCAUGCUAGAAGCAACUUUCUCACCACGAGUUGUGACAAGAAUUCUACUUCCUGGAGCUCCACAACUAAGAGGAGUUCGCACAACUUCCCAUUCUGCUGGUCUUUCGUUCCAAACAUCAUCCAAAACAAGAAGAAAUUUCUUUCCUGACAAUUUUUCUUUCAGUUUUUUGUGAACCAUUUCUAGGUUCCCCCUGUCAUCUUUUUGAUUUGUGAUUGCCUCAAGAAUUGUUCUUGUCACGGUCAAAACAUGAAAAUGAUCAGAAACACAGACCCAUGCUUUGAUAUCAAAUUUUGCAUCCUCGAUCUUUGGGUCACUGUACACAUGUUGGGCGAGUGUAGUCUUACCCAAGCCACCCAUGCCCACAAUGGAAAGUAUUGAUGGGUGGUUAGGAUUGUCGAUUUCAGAUGUGAGCCAAUUAAUGAUUAUAUCUUUGUCAGCAUCUCUGCCGUAAAUAACACUUUCAACCACCAAAGAAGAUGAUGGCAAUUGAAGCGUUACUACCUGAUCCAUCAUCACCAGAAUAAGUACCCUCGUUCAAACGAAGAGCAUCCUUUUGUUUUGCAAGAUAUUCUAGUUUCUCCAUGACUUCUUUCAUCUUUGAUUCAAUUUUCUUGUUAAAUGAAGCGAAAGUAGAGUUGAAGAAAUUUGAUACCUUGUAAUUAAAGGUUUGAGAUUGGGAUUGAGCGUGGACUUGGCAUCUGGUGAAUUCAUAGUCUAUUUCACCCAACAGAUCCUCUGCAUCAAAGACAGCCUCUUUGACAGCAAGAAGCCAUGCUUUGACGUCUGGAUUUGUGAACUGCUUUAGUUCAGCAUCAUCAGCGAGAGCAUUGAUGGAAUGCAGCAUGAUGUUCAAAUUGGGGAGCAGUUUCUCAUCAAGUUUUCUUCCACGAAAGAAGUCUAGAAGUUGAGGAGAAGCGAGCCUGUGGAAUACAACCUGAAGAAAGGCGGAAAGAAGAGCACCACCAACAAGUUCAGCUGCCAUGGUAGGAAGGAGUUGGAAAUGAAGUGAAAUGGAUUGAGUGCAGGAAUGAAUGGUAUAGUGAUGAAUGAAAAGAGUAGUUAGAAAGGAUGACUUCACUUUAGAACAUGUUGUUCUUUUAUGGCAACUCAACCAAUAUAAAAUGUGAGCUGUUGGAUAUUCAUUCAACGGUUGUGAUGAAUGAAAGUAGGGCGGGAAGAGGAACGAACAAUGCAAUAAUGAUAAUAUCUGACUCGAAAUAAUAUCUUUUAUGUAACAAUUAAGCAGUAAUUGUUAACUGUUUCUGAUGUACUAAUUGGCAUCCUUUCGUUAUUCACUUAAUUUCGUUUAUGUCUUUCUUUUCUCUGUAUUUAUAAUUUUUUUAAUUUGGUUCAAUAGUAAUUUUUAUCUCUUUAUUUAUACUUUUAUUAUUUUUGAAAGGUCUCAAAUUAGUUUUACUUUUAUUUAAAAUUAGUCAGAAAAGAUAUUUUAAUAUUGUUUCAUUGACUAACUUUAAGUGGGACUUAACAUUGAUUUGGUAUUAUUGUAGUUUGUUGUUCUAUGUAUAAUAGUGUGCUUAAAAUACUAUGCAAACAAGACUAAUAGAAGUAUCACUCUUGACCACCCUCUUUUUUAGGUUUUUUUCCUUUAAUUCUUCUAAUUACAGAAUUUUAUAGCCUCCGACCCUGCAGUUAUAUUACAUUGAAGACAGAAAAUAAUUAUCUCUUUAAGCAUCAUCAACUUUAAGUCCUUUUGAAUAACAUGCUUUUGAAUAAUUAUCUCUGAAGGAAGGAGCAAAAAUGUCCUAGCUCAAUCUAGUGCUCAAGCUAAAAAAAUCUAUAAAUAUGAGACUUAUGAAUGAAUAGGGAGAUAUAUAAUUUUUAGUUUAAUAGUUUUGUUCUAUUUUCUUUCUUUCUAUUUGUAAAAGUAGUAUAUUAAGUGGAGACUUAUGAGUGUGUUGUACUACCUCCAGAUAUAAAAGGGAUGGUGUAAAACAAAGUGUGGAAAAAAGGUAAUUGAAAAUUAUAGGAUUAGUGUCUGAAACAAAGAAGAUUGUAAUCGAAAAGAUAGAGAGAUAUUGUGCAGAAUUAGCAGGUGUUGAAGUUGCAGACAAAGGAAAAUAAAAGAGUGUGAGAGUGGAGAGGUGACAGAUAGGUGAGACUCAGAUAUUGCAGAUAAUCCUUCACUCAUCAGUAUAUAGACUCAUGAGAUCAUUCAAUUCGUGCAAUGAUAUGCCAUAGAUAAAAUCAGUGUUUUUCAACUUAGAAUCUCUUAACCAUUAUGUUGAAAAGUUCCAAUAAAUGAGUACAAAUUUUCAUUAGGAUCCUCACAUUUAACCAUAGCCCUGAACUUUUGGAGAGAUUUUUCAUCAUGAAGAUGAGUUGUCACCUCCAAAGCAUGCUUUAAUUUCAGAUUAGUUUCUCCGUCAAGAUUCAUAGUCUCGACAUAAUUUUAUUUUAUUGUUUUGAAAGAUCUCAAAUUGGUUUUACUUUCAUUUAAAAAUUGACACAAUCUUUUUUUUUCUAAUAUUGUUUCAUUGACUAACUCUACAGUGGGACUUAAUACCGAUUUAGUAUUAUGUUUUCUGGUUGGUAGUAAUUAGGUAUUAAUUUGGCCAUAAAAUAUUUUGUAUUUGACAUAUGUAUUCAUGUGGAGGUUGAUAAUUUUUCAACCCAAGCUUGGAAACCAUCUACCGAAUAUGGAUUGAUCAAGGACCUUGGUGACAAUGUCAACAUGUUGCUCAGAACUCUUGAAAGGGAGAAGAUGAAAUAAUUCAGAUUGUAGUUUAUCUCUAAUGACGUGACACUCUAUUUCGAUAUGUUUAAUGUGUUUGAGAAAAAUAAGAUUUGAAGCAAUGUGUCGGACAACUUGAUUAUCGCAGAACAGAUGGGCAUUUUGUUGAAUAUUGAUCUGAAGAUCUUGCAGAAGAAAAAUGAGCUAUUGGAUUUCACUAUGCAGUGGUAGCAAGAGCUCGAUAUUCAGUUUCGGACGAAGAACGCAAAAUAGUACUUUGUUUUUUUUCCACAAAAUCAAGUAUUCUAGCUCUAGAAACGGAAAGAGCAAAAACAGAGAAAAGAUGAACAAUUUUAGGAGUUUUUUUUUGUAUUUCUAAUUUUAAUAUAUUAUUUAAAUAAAAAUAAUAAUUUUCUUAUCAGUUAGAUAUAAAAUGUUGCUUUUAAAAUGAAAAUAAUGUUAAUAUUUGAAUCUCAUGAUAGAAAUUUUGUAUUUGGUUUAUAUGUAAGAAAGUUAUGCUAUAUAUAAAGUGUAUGAUUAAAAAAUUAAUGAAACUCUUCCAUACGAUAGAUUUCUUCUUGUACAAAUAUAUUUUGUACUGUGCAUUCACAAUCACAUGCAUUUAGCAAAGUAAGAGGGAGUGAAAGAAAAUCUUUAUUGGUAAAAGACUCUAAAUCCACUCUUUGAAUAUACAAGAUUUGUAGAGAGGUGUUGGCUCCCAAUAAUCACUUUUUAUCUCCAACUAUACAAGACAAUACUUGGUGAACAAGAAAAUUUACACUUCUGUAACUUUGUUGUUGCUGUUCAGAGUCUUUAAACUUUUAGUGCAGAGCAAGAGUUUUUCUGUUGCAGGAGGAUCUCCAGAUUGUAGAGGAGAGGUAAUAAAGUAGUAAAAUAUAAUUAACUCUUAUUUUUGAAUGGGAAGAGAGAUUACAAGGAUGUGAAAUAAAACAGGAGAGACAUGGUUUUUUAUUGGAAGAAUCAGAUUUGUUUGAGAAUGAAAUAAAACAAAAGAAGAGAGCACACUCAGAAACUCUAACACUCACUUUCUCCAACAAUCUUGGCACAAGUUUGCUCUUCAUCCUCUGGAACUCAUAUCUAAGCUUGAGUAGGGAGAUGGAUGGUGUUUGGUACACGCCCUUGUACUUAUUUUCUCUGUAUAAUAAAUAUCAUGGUACACUGCUACAAACCAACUUUGGAAGACCUGUGGAAGAAAUAAGGUAGAAACAAAGCAUAAGCACAUUGUUCCAUUAACUUAAAAUUCAAGAAAGAAUGAAUGUAUCCAUCAUAAAUACAUCAGCAUACAAAUUUUAUAGAGCUUCAUGUUUAGAUUUUUCCCAUUAAAUUGCAGUGCUAAAGCUUCACAAUGUUAAUUGCUUUCGCAGCAAGCUGCAUAUUUAGAUAACAAAUGUGUUGAGCCAUAUUGAUUAAAGGAGAUUCUGCAAUGGGGUUGGACAUUCUGAAUUGAGUAUGGUGAGUGAGUGAUGUAGUUGAUGAAUGAUAAAGCACAUGUCUCUGCCAUUAAUGUAUAUUCUAAUUCCUACUUUCAGAACCUCUACCAUAUCAUGGAAAAUGUUCGACACAGGGAGGUCUGGCUAAAGAAAAUUUCAAGGCUCAUCAGUUUAUUGUAAUUAACACAUGCCUGCUGAGCUAUACAAUCUUAAACAUACGCCUUUUAAAUUCCAAUUACAGGUUCCUUAGAUACAGAGUGUCCCUUAUGCCCACUGCAGUUUCCAUUCAUGUUUCUAAAUUGCUUCUGAAAUUAACAUUUUAUAUAGAGGAAAUAUUCUUUAAUUCAGACAGAAGCAAUUUUAAUAAUUAAUAAAAUUUUGUACCUUCAGACAAAGUUUUGCAGAAACAACUUGAUAGAAGAUGUCUAGAGCGAUUAGUUGAAGUGAAGAAGGCUUUGUGUGGGUUUGGCACUGAAAUGGAUGGAUGUGUGGCCUUGCACAUUGGACCCUUUUUUAAGAAAAUUUCAAGGCUCAUCAGUUUAUUCUAAUUAAUUACCAAAUGAGGUAUAGAAUCUUACACCAUUUGACAUUAAGUCAAGUUGCCUAAGAGAUAUAUAAAUCAUACUCCAAGAAUUGAUACCAGUGAUAUGGAACUUUUCCCCACAUCCCAUCAAAGCCUGAUAGCAUGUCACCUAUUCCACAGCACCAGAACCAAACUCACUCUAUAUCUAUAAAACAAAAAGCUGAAUUUCAGUGUUGGAAUAUUUGUUAAUUAUCUGACAAAGACUACAAUCAUAUUGCCAAAGUAUCGUAUAAAAGAUGCUUUAAAUUAGUAAAUAAAGUUAAGAUAUUUCUAAUCCCAGGUAUUUAUAUUAUUUAGUUGAAGUCAUGCAUUAAAUGAACUAACUAGCAGUGUAUGAAUCAAAUAAUUUAGAAAAUAUCAAGUUGAGUUUUAUCUUACUGAGGGCUAAAUAUGAUUUUUUUUUCUAAUGGUAGGAAUUGAACACAAGUAGCAGAAGGUUUUCAAUAACUCACACUACUGAACCAAUUGAGUAUAAAGUUGUUUUUCUAAUGGGCAGUAGUGUUACAUUUAUUUGCAAUGCUCACAACUUCAAUGCCACCUCCCAACUCAGGAAGAAAUCAAAUACAAUUCCAAGGUCUAAGAAUGUAUGUUUAGAAGCAUUUACAUUUCACAACUCCCUUUGCUUCAAUCUUUCUCUGAGGUGUAUUAGUUUUCCCUGGACCUGUUUAGGUAACUCAUCAUCUGAUGAUAACCUAAUUUCAAUCCCUUCUACUUGUUCUCUCUGUAUAAUAUCAUGGUACAUUGGUAGAAACCCUCUUUGGAAAGACCUAUAGGAGAAAUAGGGUAGCAGCACACACAAGAACAAAAGGGUUACUAGCCAAUAUAGACCACUGGGAGCACAUGCUUCCACUGGGAGCACAUGCUUCCACUGGGAGCACAUGUAUCCAGAUUUGGUUGGAAUUUAAUUUCAUCAGAACAAUGAAAUAAUUUUGCACGAAAAUAAGAAUAAAAUAAAAGUAAUUGAUUCAUGAAAAACUUAGUUGAGCCUUCUUUAAUAAAUAUCAUCACAUCAGUUUAAAUAUAACAUGUGCUACUCUCACUACAAAAAAAAAAAUUUAGUGGGGUUAUUUUUUUCCUUUCCGACGGUUUUAACCCCCGUAAAUUGCAUUACUCGCAGUUUACUAUGUCCCUAGAAUAUCCAGCGUCGAUAAUGAAUUAUUGACGAUUUUUACGAAUCCUGAAAAAUAAUUACUUUCUGGUGGUUUUGAAACUCCGUUAUUUCCCGACGGUUUAGAAACUCCCGUAAUUUUCGACGGUUUUGAAACCUCUGUAAUUCCUGGCGAUUUCGAAACCCUCUUAUUUUCCAACUGUUUUGAAACUCCUGUAAUUCCCAGCGGUUUCGAAGCCCUGUUAUUCUCGAUAGUUCCUGGCAAUUUUGAAACCUUCGUUACUUCUAGGAGGUGCACAUAAAAAAAUAGGUGACGAAUAAUAAAAAUGUUGAAUCAAAAUAGUCUAAUGGUCUUCUGAGAUCUUGUGUUCUUCUUCUACCACCUAACAAUAAUACACUACGGUCUUUCAACUCUUUUUAUUUACUUUCCAAUGUUUCGUAAUACUGUAUUAUAAUUUUUUCAUAAUGAAAAUAUAGACACUGAAUUAUUAAUGUAAAAAAAUUGUGUAAUAUAUGAUUAACAUGAUUUCGUAUUAAUACCAAAUAAAAUAUAAGAAAUACAUAUUACUUACUAAUUCAUUAAUCUUAUUCAUUAAGAUUCAUCUAAUAACCGGUAUUAAAAGGUGUUAGAAUAAUAAACAUAAAGGUUUAUUAUUCUUAUUAACAAAUUGUUUUGGAACAACAUCCUAAAGACAAUUUGACUUCACUUUCAUUUUUGAGGUGGAUAGUAAUUAGAUAUGAAAUUUGGAUGAAAUUUUGAUAUGCGAUCUUGGAAGAAUAGUGGUGGUUGUUAGCUACAAUUUAAGAUUAUCUUCUAAGUUAUUGAAUAAUGUUAUCUUUUAACAUUAUUUGAAUAUUGCUGUGGUGUCUUCAAUGUGUAAUAGUGUGAUUAAAAUACUAUAUAUGCAAACAAGUUUUUGUUUGCUUUAGUAAUUAAUUAUAUAGUUUCGUGAUUUUAGGGUAUUUUGUAAUAUUGAUAACUUUGUUUGAGUUUAUUAAAAAAAAUUACUCAUCUUAUAAUGUCUACGUUUUUUUUGUUAAUGAUCCGAUUUGUUUCUUAAUGUAUGUUGUUGGAUUUUAUUUUAUAAUAUUUAUACUUUGAUUAUGAAUUUCCAGGGUAGCUUAAUUAGUUACUGUUUGUAACGUAUGAGGUUUUUUUCUAGAACUUGUGUAUAUAGGGACAGAAUGAAAUAAGAUGGUGGGAUACUUAAAGGUCUUAUAAAGCUGGAUAUUUAUUCUUAAAUAAAUAGGAUAUGUUUUUGGUAGUGGAAAUAUAGUGUUCUAUUUAUGGCGAUAUUAAAGAUAUAAAAAGAUUUUACCAGCACCUUAAAACAUUUUGCAUUUUGACAAAUUUUUGGAAGAAGUUACUAUAAAAAUGUUGAAGAAUAUUUUUAAAAGUUUGGCAUAAUCGCCUUGGUCAUCCUACUAUAAUACUGUGACCACUAGAAUAAUGAAACUGUGCAAAGUUCCAUGUAUUAAAAGCUCUAUUUUUUUUUUAAGAUGAUUGUUUCUAAAUAUCAUCAAUUGCUUUUUCAUAAUUAUGAAAUUAUUUAUUUUUGUCAUUUUGAGUUUGUUUUUGUUGAUAUAUGGAGUUUUUUUUCCAUACAAUUAGUCUAAUGGAUCUCGGUAUUACUCAAUUUUUUUUAAAGUGGUUUAAAUUCAUAUCGUCUAAGUAUUAGGUUCUCUUUGUUUUUUUUGGUUUUAAACUUUUUGCUAAUAACAAACUGAUUACACUUUAAAAAGCUUACAAACAGAUUAUGUUAAAGAAUUUCUUGCUCUUGCAUCAUAACUAAAUAAUAACAGAAUACAUCAUAGGUUAAUCUGCCCUCACAUACAUUAGAAAAAUGAAAGAAAACAUAUACAUAUUAUUGAGAUAGGUUUAGCUUUGCUAUCUAGUGCCUCUCUACCCUUCAAGUUUUCGGCAGUCAAUGGCGGUGGCAGUAAAGUUCAAUGGUGCAAGGUGGUGGUCAAUGGAGAAAAGGGAAGGAAAAAAAGUUUGCAGCAAUUAAAGCUGCAAAAAAAAAAGAAUUGUAACAAUGAAGGCUGUUCAGAAAAAUAAUUGCAGCAAUGAAGGAUGUCCAGAAAAAUAACUUCAACAAUGAAGGAUGCUAAAAAAAAGAUUGCAGAAACAUAGUCUCCAAGAUCAGGAGCUCUGAUACCAAGUUGAAAGAAAUAAAUAAAAUAUAUUUUUUGAGAUAAUUUACAAAUGUGAUUACAGUCUCAAUUUAUAAAAUUACAACCUAAUUAAGGAAACAACUAUUAGGAAAUGAAAGCAAGAAAUAAUAUGUGAUUACAUCUGUACAAAUCAAAUCAAAAUAAAUCACUAACAAAAUUAUCCUAAUAAAUAGAGAAUGAAAUCUACACUUAAUUAGAGAAUAAUUCUCCUGAUUACGCAAUACAGAUGGAAACAAAAGAAAUAAAAAAUAGAAGUUACAUGAAAUGCUCACAAACAACUUGAAUGCUAUUUCCUACCUCACUAAGAAAGCAUGUACAAUUUCAAGUUCUAAGAAUGGAUGCUUAGAAGCAUUUACAUUUCACAACUCCCAUUGCUUCAAUCUCUCUAUCAGAUGUAGUUUUCCCUGGACUUGUUUAGGUAACUCAUCCUCUCAUAAUCCAACUUCAAACCCUUGUACUUGUUUUCUCUUCAUCAUAUCUUGACACAUGGGUAGAACAGACUUUGGAAAGACUUAUAAUAUCACACUCCACACAACACACUGUGACCAUAAGUAUUUCAAAAACAGCCACCUUACUCUCUCUUCUCAAGGCUUGAUUCAAGACAAAAACAGUGGUCAAGAGUAAGAUCUCUAAAGAGGGUCUCUUCUACUCCCUCCAGAUAUAGAAAAGGAUNNNNNNNNNNNNNNNNNNNNNNNNNNNNNNNNNNNNNNNNNNNNNNNNNNNNNNNNNNNNNNNNNNNNNNNNNNNNNNNNNNNNNNNNNNNNNNNNNNNNUGUCUUCCAAUAAAAUCAUUAAUUUAAAAUCAAAACCUAACAAAAGACAAGUCAACACUUCAUCGAUACAUUAGCAUUGGAUUUGAGAUUGGAUUUGAGAUUAAACUUCUGCACUUCACAAUUUUUAGUGUCCACAUCCACUUUCUGAAUAUUCAAGUCACAACCAUCGAUCACUAUUUCACAACUGAGUAAGUCCAAAAGCAGAAGGCAUGUCACCAGAACCAAACUCACUUUAUAUCUAUAAAAGAAAAGGCUGAAUUUCAAUGUUGAAAUAUUUGUUAAUUAUAUGAGAAACACUACAAUCAUAUUGCCAAAGUAUCGUAUAAAAGAUGCUUUAAAUUAGUAAUUAAAAUUAAGAUAUUUCUAAUCCCAGGUAUUUAUAUUAUUUAGUUGAACUCAUGCAUUAAAUGAACUAACUAGCAGUGUAUGAAUGAAAUAAUUUAUAAAAUAUCUCAAGUUGUGUUUUAUCUUACUGAGGGCUAAAUGUGAUUUUCUUUCUAAUGGUAGGAAUUGAACACAAGUAGCAGAAGGUUUUCAAUAACUCACACUACUGAACCAAUUGAGUAUAAAGUUGUUUUUCUAAUGGGCAGUAGUGUUACAUUUAUUUGCUUCUCUUUUUUCAAGAUAUUGAAUCUUAGUACUCUUGAAUACAAACAGAAAACUAUGAGAUCAGUCUCAGCAGGAAAAAGUUGAAAAUAUGAAUUUGAGUCUCAAGAUCAGAAUAUUAAGGAAACUAAAAUUGGACCAUUACAAGGUUGUGUGGCCUUACACAUUAGACACUGUUUUAGAAAUAUUACUGAAAUUUUCUCAGUUUAGGUUCAUUAUGCAUAGCAGUUUGGUUGUCACCAAACAACUCAUAUUCUAAACAAUAUUCAAGCUAUUUCUACUACUAUUUUUUCUGUAAAAGUGAGUCUUGAUUGAACACCAUAAGACUUCUUUAAUGGUUUUAAUGUUUAAAAAUCUUGAUGGAAUAUCACAAGAGCUUUUUAAUAAAGUAAAAAGUGGUUUAAAAAUACUUUUAAAUUCCAAUUACAAGUUCCUUAGAUCCCUUAUGUCCACUGCAGUUUCCAUUCAUCUUUCCUCCACUAAAAACCCAUAACUUCAUUUUGAGGAUCAUUUAGUUCCAGUGAUCUAUUAUUAAGUUUAAGUUCAUUUUUUUGUCAGAAACUGUAGUAACAUGAAAUAAGAACACAGAAUACUCUGUUCGGAAUGGAUGCCAAAUGCCAAACCACCUUCACGAUUUUCGUAGUAUUCUAAAAUUAGGAAAAACAUUCGGUUGGAAUUUAAUUUCAACAGAAAAAUUGAAAUAAAAAAUAAGAGUAAAAUAAAAGUAAUUGAUUCAUGAAAAACGUAGUUGAGUUCAAGUAUAUCAUGUGCUGCUCUUGUUUGAAAAAUGGCAAUUAUAGGGUUACCGUUUGCAACUAAGAAAAUGGUAAUCGAAAAGGUACAAAGAUAUUGUGGAGAAUUCGAACCGGUUGAAGUGCCAGACAAAUUCAAAUAUAAUCAUCGCACAUACAGAUCUUGGAUGUGAGCAAUCUUUUCCCAGUCUUCUCCAUCUGGACUCUGACAACGCUCCUUCAGCAAUGGACAACCAAUGAUUGAGAGAGAAGAGAUGGAUUUGGGGAGACCCUCCGCUGGUAAGCAUUCAAGGCUGGGACAAUCACGAAUUAUGAGAGAGGAGAGGUGGUAGAGACCCUUGUAGUGCAUCUUUUUAAGAUUUCGGCAAUAUUGGAUUCGUAGAAAGGUGAGAGAGCGUGGCAGCAAAACUUCAUCGGGAAAACACUCCACCUCCAAGUGUUCAAUAUUCAAGGUUUGAAGAGAUGUGUUGGGAUCCAAGUUGUCUCUCAAGGAGGCGAUAAGUUUUAAACAUGAAAGACACAUUCUUUUUAUAUUUAAUGGCAAACCUCCAUCUGGGAACAACUCCACUUGUGGACAAUAUUCAAUACAUAGAGACAUGAGAUGAUUAUGAGCGUACUCCUGUGAAAUUCUUCUUAGGUUUUGGCACUUUAUCAGUGUAAGUUCAUGGAGCUUUGGAAAGAAAUCUAGCCGAAAGAUUGAAAGAGAGUCCAUACUGUUUCCGCUAAUUCUGAGCUCAUCACUAACAACUACUUUCGUACCUUUCAGUUUCGGACAUUUAAACACAAGAAGCUGUCGAAGACGUGGAAAAGAAGUAGUUUUACACUCCCAUUCUUCCCAUUCCUUCAUAUUGAGGAACUGCAACAUCUCCAAGGAUGCAAACGAAGAGUUACUCCCAUAAAAUUCAUCACCAACGCUCACUAUUCCAUCAAACCCUGUAAUAUGGAGGGUCUUCAGUGAUGACAAAAGUCCAAGGGGAGGCAAACAUAGGCAAUAUUUACAAUCCUCCAACUUUAAGAACACCAGAUUUGAUAACGAAUUAUCGAAUACCCAACUUGGGAAUUCUGUACCACUGUAGUUCCAGAUUGACAAAUUCUCCAAGUGAUUGGAAGGUUGUAGAUUCUGAAGUACUUCCGUUUCUUUCCUUGGAUCAUCAGGGAUGUGGUUCGACUUCCAAUCUAAUUCUAGCUCCACAAGGUGUUUAUCUUUCACAUUUGCUUCUAAUGCGUCCAAAGGAUUCAAAAUAUUCUGCACGUCAUUGAUUGAUAGCCUUCCAUGAAGAUUGAGUCCUCCCAACCCGCCCAGUUGUUUAGUACUAACCUCACUAUUUCUAUCGACGAUAAACUUAUCCAAUUCUUGAAGAUUCUUCAAUUCUCCAAAAUGCAUUGGCAUCUUUCUCACUUUUGUACCUUCAAAUUCCAGGCAACGCAAUCUGGUAAGUUUAUGCAAAUUUAAGGGAAACUCCUCCAACUUUGAACAAAAUUUCAACUUCAGUAUUAGUAAGUUAUAGAGCAAACAUAUCGAGUCAGGUAGCUUUUGUAUCCCAGUACGCGAAAGAUCUAACGAAUGGAGAUGUUUAAGAUCAUCUACAGAAUCUGGAACCUCUCUAAGGUCUGAACAACCACUGAAAGAUAACACGCGUAUAAACUUAAUCUUGGAAAACAAAUCAUGUAUGGAAAUUUUGAAAUGCCAUUGAGGUUUCCCAAAUUGUUGGAUAGGCAGAAAUGAACGAAGUCUUUUAGCAUCAGCUAAACUCCCUAAACCAUCAAAACUUUUGACAUCAUGGAAUUCAAAUGAAAAAUGACGGGUUGUUUUCGGUAUACAUCGGCCUUUAUCAAAUUUCAACCUUAAACAGAAAUCCCCACAAACAUAUUUUGCCAAAUCAUUCAGAAGGUCAUGCAUGACGAAACACAACCCGGAAUCUGAAUGUUGAAAAAAAGACCUUGACAGAAGAUCAUUGAAGUACUCUUCACCAACUUCUUCUAGAUGUCUCAUCUGUUGCGGACUCUGUAGAAAAUUUUGGGCCAUCCACAUCAAAAUUAACUCCUUCUUCACAAACUCAUAAUCUUUGGGGAAUAAGGCACAAUAAGCAAAGCACCUUUUAAGAUGAGAAGGGAGAUAACGAUAGCUAAAAAAUAACGCAGGAAUAAUUUCACUGUGUUCUUUUGGUAACUCCCAUAUGUCACUUUCCAAUAUGUUCUUCCAAUCUGAAAUGGAUGACUUUGUGCGUAAAAGACAUCCAAUUGUUUUCAGAGCUAGAGGUAAACCCUUGCACUUCUCAAGUAUCCUUCUACCAACCUUCAUUAACUCAUCAUUCAAAUCAAGAUCACCAUCUUCUAAUGCAUGAUUUUCAAAAACUUUCCAGCAUUCAUCCUCUCCUAAUUGCUUUAGAAGAUGCACUUCAGACCUCAUGCUAGAAGCAACUUUCUCACCACGAGUUGUGACAAGAAUUCUACUUCUUGGAGCCCCAUAGCUAAGAGGAGUUCGCACGGCUUCCCAUUCUGCUGGUCUUUCGUUCCAAACAUCAUCCAAAACAAGAAGAAAUUUCUUUCCUGACAAUUUUUCUUUCAGUUUUUUGUGAACCAUUUCUAGGUUCCCACUGUCAUCUUUUUGAUUUGUGAUUGCCUCAAGAAUUGUUCUUGUCACGGUCAAAACAUGAAAAUGAUCAGAAACACAGACCCAUGCUUUGAUAUCAAAUUUUGCAUCUUCCAUCUUUGGGUCAUUGUACACAUGUUGGGCGAGUGUGGUCUUACCCAACCCACCCAUUCCCACAAUAGAAAGUAUUGAUGACUGGUUAGAUUGUCGGUUUCAGAUGUGAGCCAAUUAAUGAUUAUAUCUUUGUCAGCAUCUCUACCGUAAAUAACACUUUCAACCACCAAAGAAGAUGAUGGCAAUUUCUGUGACACUCUACUGCCUGAUCUAUCAUUAUCAUCAGAAUAAGUACCCUUUUUCAAACCAAGAGCAUCCUUUUGGUUUGCAAGAUAUUCUAGUCUCCGCAGGACUUCUUUCAUCUCUGAUUCAAUUUUCUUGUUAAAUGAAGUAGAGUUGAAGAAAUUUGAUACCUUGGAAGUAAAGGUUUGAGGUUGGGAUUGAGCUUGGACUUGGCAUCUGGUGAGUUCAUAGUCUAUUUCACCCAACAGAUCCUCUGCAUCAAAGACAGCCUCUUUGACAGCAACAAGCCAUGCUUUGACGUGUGGAUCUGUGAGCUGCUUUAGUUCAGCAUCAUCAGCGAGGGCAUUGAUGGAGUGCAGCAUGAUUUUCAAAUUGCGGAGGAGCUUCUCAUCAAGUUUUCUUCCACGAAAGAAGUCUACAAUUUGAGGAGAAGCGAGCCUAUCGAAUGCAACCUGAAGAAAGGCGUUGGAAAUGAAGUGAAAUGGAUUGAGUGGAGGAAUGAAUGGUUCAAUUAGUGGAAAGAAGAUACCCUUAAAUAGCGAUCACUUAAAUAAUUAUUUAACAGUUUUUUUAUGUAUUUCAAGUUAAAUAGAAAAACAUUCUUAUCAUUUGGAAAUUCUUCCGUGAUAUGUCUCAGCUUCUUUGUGAAAUACUGAGGCAAUAAAUAUUAAGAGCAAUUUGGUUAUCACAAGCAAGGGUCUUCUUUCAUUAAUAUCUACUGUGCUGAAUUUCAAACAAUCACCUCUGAACUGAUAUUCUCUGUUUUCUUAAUUGCCAGAUUUUUUAAAUAUUUAUAAUUUCACUUUUAUAUUGUUUACAAAAUUUNNNNNNNNNNNNNNNNNNNNNNNNNNNNNNNNNNNNNNNNNNNNNNNNNNNNNNNNNNNNNNNNNNNNNNNNNNNNNNNNNNNNNNNNNNNNNNNNNNNNACUUUUGUAGCUUGUAUCUUUACUUUUCAUCUAAUCUUUAAUUAAUUUAUAUAAAUGUAUUUAUCAUAUUGACUUAAAUAUUUUAGUUCCAGAAGCGAGGUCAUUUGUCUAUUAAUUAGGUAGCAAUACAAUUUUUUAAACAAUGUAAACAGACUUUUAACAGAAAUCAAUGUUUAGUUGUAGAUCAAUCAUAACAAAAGACUCAUUCCUUCUAAGAGUUAUUGGAAAUUUGAGGAUCCAUGGUGGAAGAGAAUAGCGCCACAAAGUAUCAUCUCACAGUUCAACAAUGAGUUGAAAUUGUGAAUUGCAUGAGUUGAUUUCUCUAAUCUAAGAGUCCAAGAGGUGACAGUUUGAAUAUACAAGAUUUCUAGAAAGGUGUUGGCUCCCAAGAAUACCUUUUUAUCUCCUUCUAUACAGGACCAAACAUAACUUCACACUUUUGUUAGUUGCUGUUCUGAGUCUUUACACUUGUAUGCACAAUUUUUCUGUUGCAGGAGAAUCUUCAGAUUGUGGACUAAGGAGAGGUAAUAAAACAGCAAAACAUACUUAAUUAUCACUUUAUUAGAUUUCAAAUAAAACAGGAGAGACAUGAUUUUUUUUCCAAAGAAUCAGAAUUGAUUGAGAAUGGAUACUUAAUGAGAUGCAAUCUAUUCAAUUUUGUUGAAGAUUGAAGAGUGAUUUCUUAAAUACCUGUUUUACUGUCUCGACCGAAAGGUCAACUGAAAGUCUCGACCGACCGAAAGGUUGUACGGCCGAAAGGUCAACCAAAAGUCUCGACGCCGAAAGGUCAACUGAAAGUCUCGACCGACCGAACGGUUGUGCGACCGAAAGGUCAACCGAAAGUCUCGACCGACCGAAAGGUUGUGCGUAAAAUUAAAUUAGUGAUUAUAGCAAAGCCCAUAAGAUGGGCCCAAAUAUACAGGUGUGUGUUUUCAAAAUGUUAGGUGCAAAAAGAAAAGACCUAAGUAACUCUUAAGCCCAAUAAGAGAGUCUUAUAAAUAGAGGUUCAACUCAAAAGGUAAGGAGAAUUUCAAUUGAUCUGAUAAGCAAAAAACUAUAUCUGACUUUGGCAUCGGAGCGCCUUGCAGGUACACACNNNNNNNNNNNNNNNNNNNNNNNNNNNNNNNNNNNNNNNNNNNNNNNNNNNNNNNNNNNNNNNNNNNNNNNNNNNNNNNNNNNNNNNNNNNNNNNNNNNNNNNNNNNNNNNNNNNNNNNNNNNNNNNNNNNNNNNNNNNNNNNNNNNNNNNNNNNNNNNNNNNNNNNNNNNNNNNNNNNNNNNNNNNNNNNNNNNNNNNNNNNNNNNNNNNNNNNNNNNNNNNNNNNNNNNNNNNNNCCCAAUGUGAGAAGAGACCGAGAGAGUCCAGCCCAAAGUUCGGAAGAUUUGUAUAAGAGUUAAUCUUGUCAACCUAAUUUUAGUGUUCUUGGUCCUUGUUGUAAGAACAUUUUGGCGCCCACCGUGAGGCCGAGAAGUAGCUGAAAAAGGUUGAAGACAAGAUGAAUCAAAUGAGAAGAACAAGGUGGAGAGCAAUCUGGGGAGCAGAGAGAUAAUCAAAAUUCCAUAUCAAUGGCUAUGCUCAUGCAGUUACAAAGAAAGUUCGAAACACUAAAGAGAAGCAAUGAAGAAAAGUUAAGUAUGUUAAGGGCGGAGAAUGCGUACAUAAAAGGAGUUAGAAUGAAGAGACGNNNNNNNNNNNNNNNNNNNNNNNNNNNNNNNNNNNNNNNNNNNNNNNNNNNNNNNNNNNNNNNNNNNNNNNNNNNNNNNNNNNNNNNNNNNNNNNNNNNNNNNNNNNNNNNNNNNNNNNNNNNNNNNNNNNNNNNNNNNNNNNNNNNNNNNNNNNNNNNNNNNNNNNNNNNNNNNNNNNNNNNNNNNNNNNNNNNNNNNNNNNNNNNNNNNNNNNNNNNNNNNNNNNNNNNNNNNNNNNNNNNNNNNNNNNNNNNNNNNNNNNNNNNNNNNNNNNNNNNNNNNNNNNNNNNNNNNNNNNNNNNNNNAACAACUUUGAAGGGAGGGGCUGAGUUGGCAUACUCGGUUGCCACCGUUAUCCAUUGAUUGUUUCAACACUUUAGUAAAAAAGUUUGUAGCUCAUUUUGCUACAAGCCGACCACAUCAUCUGACAUCAAUUGCCUUAGUGAAUAUAAGGUAAGAAAAGGGAGAAUCCCUAAGAACAUUUAUGCAGUGCUUUGGAAAGGUAGCACUAAGUAUCCGCAAUCUCAGUCCGAAAGUCACAAUGCAUCAUAUGAUUACAGCACUGAAACCGAGACCAUGUGCCGACAGUCUUUGCAAAAAACCGGCAACCAAUCUUGACGAGUUAUCAUCGCAAGUGCCGGCCGAACGCUCACCAAACUUGCUUGAUUAACAUCGCAAGUAUUGGCCGAACGAUUGCCCGCUUGCUCGAUUAACAUCGCAGGUGCCGGCCGAACGCUCACAAACUUGCUUGAGUAACAUCGCAAGUAUUGGCCGAAUGAUUGCCCGCUUGCUCGAUUAACAUCGCAAGUGCCGGCCGAACGAUCACCAAACUUGCUUGAGUAACAUCGCAAGUGUUGGCCGAACGAUUGCCCGCUUGCUCGAUUAACAUCGCAAGUGCCGGCCGAACGCUCACCAAACUUGCUCGAUUAUCAUCGCAAGUACCGGCCGCUCACUACUCUUUGAUAGAGAUGGAAUUGAAAGAUACCACAAGAAUCAUNNNNNNNNNNNNNNNNNNNNNNNNNNNNNNNNNNNNNNNNNNNNNNNNNNNNNNNNNNNNNNNNNNNNNNNNNNNNNNNNNNNNNNNNNNNNNNNNNNNNGCUACAUAUGGAAUGCAUCCGUUUGGUAAUAUGAGUACAAAUCACAGUUCAUGGCCUGUUAUAUUGGUUAUUUACAACUACCUUCCUGGAUUGUGCAUGAAGCGAAAAUACAUGAUGUUGUCUAUGAUGAUAUCCGGUCCGAAACAGCCAGGAAAUGACAUAGAUGUUUAUCUUAGUCCCCUAAUCAAAGAUUUGAAGUUAAUGUGGGAUCAGAGUGUUGAAGUAUUUGACGGAUUUGCUAAUGAAACUUUCAGGCUGCAUGCCAUGUUAUUUUACACCAUCAAUGAUUUUCCGGCAUAUGGUAACUUAUCAGGUUAUAGUGUUAAGGGUCAUAAAGCAUGUCCAAUAUGCGAAGAAUACACUGCUUCUCAACAAUUGAAACAUGGAAGGAAGACAGUAUAUCUUCGACAUCGGAGAUUUCUUAGAAGUCAUCAUCCUUACCGGAGGUUGAAAAAAGCCUUUAAUGGUCACCAAGAGACUAGUGGUCCACCAACUCCACUAACUGGUCUUGAGGUUUACGAAAUGGUAAAUAACAUAGACCACACCUCCGGUAAGUAAAAAAAAAGUCAUCUGUGACAAACAUUUGGAAGAAAAAAUCAAUCUUUUUUUAUCUUCCGUACUGGUCGAGGUUAGAGGUCAAACAAUGUAUAGAUGUAAUGCAUGUUGAGAAGAAUGUGUGUGAUAGUUCAAUUGGUACACUUCUUAACAUUAACGGGAGGACGAAGGAUGGUUUAAAUGCUCGUUUAGAUUUGAUUGAGAUGAACAUACGAAGCGAGUUGGCACCGAUACAAAUGGGUAAGCGUACAUAUUUGCCCCCAGCCUGUUACACCAUGUCAAAAGAUGAAAAAGUAAGUUUCUGUCAAUGUCUAAAGGGUGUAAAAGUGCCACAAGGACAUUCAUCAAAUGUGAAGAGCCUAGUGUCAAUGCAAGAUUUGAAGUUAAUUGGGUUGAAGUCUCAUGAUUGCCACAUCUUGAUGCAACAACUUCUGCCUGUAGCUAUUCGUGGGAUCUUACCAAAAAAUGUUAGACAUACCAUAACCCGUUUGUACUCAUUCUUCUCUUCCAUCUGUUGUAAAGUCAUUGAUCUAUUAAAACUGAAUGAACUUCAAGAUGAAAUUAUUGUUAUCUUAUGUGAAUUGGAGAUGUUUUUUCCUCCAUCUUUUUUUGAUAUCAUGGUUCAUCUAGUUGUGCAUCUGGUUAGAGAGGUUAGAUGGUGUGGACCAGUAUACUUAAGAUGGAUGUAUCCUGUUUAGCGGUAUAUGAAAAUUUUGAAAGGUUAUCUGAAAAAUCAUUAUCGUCCAGAAGCUUCAAUGAUUGAAAGGUACAUAGCUGAAGAAAGUAUUGAAUUUUGUUCAGAGUACAUGUCAAAAGCAAAUCCAAUAGGUCUUCCUGCUAAUUCAUGGCACCAUAGGCGUUCUACAAGUAAAUGUUUACGUGGUGUGAAUAUUGUAAGAAAAUCUCGGUCAGAAGUAUUGCAAGCACAUUUGUAUAUAUUGAAUAACACAAAUGAAGUUAUACCUUACAUAGAAGCUCAUAAAGCCAUUGUGAAGGCAAAUAAUCCAAGACAAGCAGAGAAAUGGGUCUUGAUGGAACAUAAUAGAACAUUCAUGCCUUGGUUUAAAGAGGAGGUGUUAAAGGAUUCAACUGCAUCGGAGACCUUGACCUGGUUGGCUGCUGGAUUGAAGUUUGAUGUCGUUUCUUGUAAAGCAUACGAAGUGAAUAAUUGUAUAUUUUACAUGAAGUCUUUGGAUGAAAAGAGUACAGUUCAAAAUUCUGGUGUUACUCUUGAAGCCGAGUCAAUGCAGUUUUCCACUUCAAAAGAUUCAAAUCCUAUACUUGGAUCAAUGGCAUACUAUGGAUUUAUAGAAGAGAUAUGGGAGGUUGACUACACUAAGUUUUCGGUUCCAGUUUUCAAGUGUAAAUGGGUUGACAAUAAAAGUGGGGUUAAAAUUGAUGAAUCAAGAUUCACAUUAGUGGACUUUCAAAAGAUAGGGUAUCGAGAUGAGCCAUUUAUAAUGGUUCAACAAGCAUCUCAAGUUUUCUAUGUCAAAGAUCCUACGUCAGAACAUUGGUAUGUCGUUUUACACGAGAAAAAACAAGGGGAGGCCAUAGAUGAUAUUGAAAAUGGUGACCCCCGUUCAUUCACACCAAUGAUAAUUAAUAAAGAUGAUGAUGUACUUGAUGAUGUACAUGCAACCCGUAAAGACCACAGUGAAGGAAUUUACAUAUGAACAUUCAACCCAUUAUGGUAAUAAAUUUAUAAAUAUUUUUGAUAAUAUGUAUUUAGAAUAUUAUGUUUUUGUUUUAUAUGAUUUUCUUUCGAUGCAGGUUAACUAACGUUUGUUAACUAUGUUUUUUAACAGAGAUAUGGAUGAGAAUCAGAGUCCAAAGAAACCCCAAUCCAAACGAGGCAGCGGAGGACCUACUAGAAUGAAACGUCUGGCAAAGAGACGUGCUGCUGGUAAGAAGACAGCUGUUGACAUUGACGUCAACACUGGAAUGGAUUCUGGUCCUAAUGCAGAAGACUUUCAUAGCUAUCUUGGAGUUCUUUCUCGUGAGAGGAUCUCCAUUUUGACUAAUUCAUGGAACGAGGUGUCAGAGGUCGAUCGAAGCAUGCUCUGGGAGGAUGUUCUGGUCAGCUUUACAUUAUUAUUGUUAUCAUAUAAUUCUUUUUAAUAUUCAUUUAUUAAUUUUAAUCUGGUGAUGUUAUUUUGCAGGCAAAUUUUGAAAUUCCUGAUGUGGAACCGCUUCGAUCAAAGAUUAUAUCGAAUAUCAGGCUUAAGUUUCACGCCUUUUAGUCAAGACUAACGACGAGAUAUGUCUUUGGUGACCUUAAAGAUGAAAGCCCUUGUCAAUCUUACAAUUUCAUUGAAGAAGAGACAUGGCAUAUUUUUAAACAAAGUCGUCUAAGUGAGGAAUAGAUGGUAAGUUAAGGUACUUAACUAUUUUUAUUUAUAUAACAUCAAUAAGUUAAUAUUAAUUCACUUCAUUUAUUUCAAUUAUGACAGCGUCGACGGAAGAAAGCUCAAGAGAUAGCUUUAAAGAAUGUUACCUCGCACGAGACAGUACGUGCGGGGUAUCGAAGGCUUGAGAAAGCACUGAUGGAGGAAAAAGAGCAAUCUAGACAGGGGAGUGCAUCUGAGGAUGUGGAAACAGGGGUCACUUCUCCUCCAUCACCACCUAAGCGCCAUGUCAAAUGGAAGAGGGUCCGAAUUAAGAAGUCGGGUGCACCAAAUUCUAAGCAAUCAGGGGUUGUCAUAGAAAAAAUUAUAAGUUAUUUAAGCCUUUUUUUCAUUUACUAUGCUGCAUUACUCAUAGUAAAAGCUGAUAUGAUUUUGGUCUCUUGUAGGAUACUUUGGACUCCCAGGGCAAUUUUACUCCAGAAGGUCGUCACGAUAUCCUUGUUGAAGCACUUGGACGACCUGAGCACCCUGGUCGUGUUCGUGCAGCUGGACAAGGAGUUGGAAUUAAAGAAUAUUUUGGAGCUGCACGUUCACACUUAUCCUCCUCCCCCAAAGAGAGCAAAGAAGAAUUGAAGAAUAGGCUACGUAAAGAAUUAAUGGAGGAGAUGAGAAAGGAGACUGAAAGGAUGAAGGCAGCGUUGCGACAGGAGUUAUCGCAUCAACUUUGUGCUGAACCGCUAAUUCAGACACUUGUCAGUCCCGCUCCGAAGAGCACAAAGGGGAGUUGUGCAACUCCUACAACAUCAGGGAAUGAUAUGAUGGGUCAGACGAGGCAAUGUGAGCUACUGGUAGAUGGUGGCAUGAUACCUCAGGUGGUGGCCAUUGGAAAAGUCUAUGAAGAGGCCACCACCUUACACAAUGUUCCUCUCCCCUCGGAUGUGGCAAAGGUAACAGUUGAAAGAGUACGAGUACCUGAUGCUCAUGUUCCACUACCUUUAGAAAAGGUAACAACUGUGGCUGAUGCAUUUUAGUCAUUCGUAGCCUGGCCCAGACACCUCAUUCGAAUUAUGCCAGAACCAUCGGUAAUAAUUUCACUCCAUAUGGUAAUUUAUAUUUAUAUAUUACAUCUAAUUUAUAACCAAUGUUCUUUCAUUUGUAGAAACCUCGUCGAAAACCAAGUCCAAAAAAGAAGCAUGAGGUUCCGGUUGACGAUCCUAUAGCUUCCUUAGUUAUAGUUGAUAGAGAAAUUGGACGAGACCCUCUAGAAGUUCCAUGGGAUGAUACGUUUUUUGAAACAAACCCUGAGCUGCCAUUGUACAUAUACAUGUCAGAUCUAUUAGAAUUUGUAGCUGGGGAACAGGAGUUGAAUAUAAAUAUCAUUCAAUUUUUUAUGAUGUAAGUAUCUUUACCUAUAUUUCAUUUUCAUUUAUGCUAAAUUAGCAUUCAUUAUGCUUUAACUAACUACUUGUAGGUUUUUGAAUGGUGUCUCUGUCACUGAGGGGAAGGAAAAUGUGUAUGGAUUCUUAGAUCCUGCAUAUACUAAUCACACUGGAGCAAAGGCAAAUGAGACCCAAUCAUACAUCACAAACACCUUGGAAAAAGAGGGAAAAGAGGUUUAUUUAUGCCCUUAUAUUAACGAGUAAGUUUAAAUAUAUAUGUUAAAAGUUUAUUAUAUUCAUGUUUUACAAAUUUACUCAACUCUUUUCAUGGAUGAUAUAGGGGUGAUUGGCAGUUACUUGUCUUAUCAGUGAAGGAUAGGACGGCUUUGUGGUUUUGUUCCCUACACAAGAAGGUAUCCACAAGUUUUGAGAAUAUCAUUGAUAGGUAAGUACACUAUCAACUUAAAUUUGUUUGACACUAUAAUUAAUCUACUAACAAAGUUUUUUGUAUCAAUUACCAGUUCAUGGCGUGGAUAUAACAUCCUAAAAGGUCGAGCGAAUUCAAAUUUUCAAAAGUUGAACUGGAUGAGACUAAAGGUUUGUAAUUGUUUUCUUUCUCUUUCCAUUGUUUAUCAAUACUUACUUUUACAAUUCAUUGAAUUAUAGUGUAAUAAACAACCAAAAAGCUAUGAGUGUGGCUAUUACGUUAUACAAUGGAUGGGUACCAUUGUUAGAGUAGGCCAUACAAGUAAUUGGCAGGAGGUAACAUUUGAUAAAUUAUUUCUAUAACUUGAACAUAUCUAUGCAUGUAUCUUAAAACUAACUUAAGUGUUAAACCAUUUUGAAAUGCAGUUCUUUGCAGAUGAGGAACCCAUGUCUUUGGAAGCCAUAACAUAUGUCAGACAGUCUUGGUCCACAUAUUUUCUAAACUUUUAUAACUCUAGGAUAUAUAUAGUUGAUCAAUACUGUAGGAUGAUAAAUAAAGUUGUAUUUGUGAUUUUGUACAUUUUUCAUCAAUACAUAUAAUUCAAAUUUGGCUUUGAGUUAUUCUGAAUGUGUUUAUAUCUCUCUUCUGUCUGGCUGAGUAUAUUUAAAUUGCACAAUAAUGAAUAAAACAAAAUGUUCCUAAAAAAAAAAAAACCUAUUUACAAGUGCGGUUAUUUACCAAGACCGCACUUGUAAAUCAUGCGGGGGUGAUUUACAAGUGCGGUCUUGGUCAUAACCGCACUUGUAAAUCACAUUUACAAGUGCGGUUAUAAAUGAACCGCACUUGUAAUUGUGAUUUGCAAGUGUGGUUAUGACCAAGACCGCACUUGUAAAUCAUUGAAUGCUGAAUGCACCUUUAAAAGAAAGCACUAUUCUGUGAAAUAUACAAGUGUGGUUCCAGAUAAUAACCGCAUUUGUAAAUCGAAUUAUAAAGGCGAUUGUAUAACUGCACUUGUAAAUCAUGAUUUACAUGUGCGUGCUGAUCAAGUGUGGUUGUACAUCCACACUCAUAAAUUCAAAAUAACUGCAUUUAUUUUGUGUUUCCGCACCAGUGUUAAUAUCAUGAACUUCACUGACACACACAGGUAUAUUGUAAAAUAUCUAUUGCUUCUUCCAUUAACAAAUACAAGGACCAUUUUUAGGUACAACAAAUACUCAAGCUUUACACAGCUAAUCUACAUCAGGUGACUGCUACACAAAUUCUACUCUCCUAAUUUUAUAAACAAAUGGUAAUCCAAGGAGGAAAAGAAAAAAAAAUUAAAAGCUAUUUGCAAUGCUCACUACUUCAAUGCCACCUCCCAACUCAACAAGAAAUCAAAUACAAUUCCAAGGUCUAAGAAUGUAUGUUUAGAAGCAUUUACAUUUCACAACUCCCUUUCUUCAAUCUUUCUGUGAGGUGUAUUAGUUUUCCCUGGACCUGUUUAGGUAACUCAUCAUCUGAUAACCCAAUUUCAAUCCCUUCACACUCCUCUUCUUAUAUUUUGUAAGUGUUUGUUGUUGCUAUUCAGAGUCCUUAAACUUUUAGUGCAGAGCAAGAGUUUUUCUGUUGCAAGAGAAUCUAUAGACUCUAGAGGAGAGGUAAUAAAAUAGUAAGAUAUAAUUUAGUUUUAUUUUUGAAUGGGAAGAGAGAUUAGAAGGAUGUGAAAUAAAACAGUAGAGAAACAAUUUUUUAUUGGAAUAAUCAGAAUUGUUUGAGAAUGGAUACUUAAUGAGGUUUUAAAACAACACUACAAUAAUCAUGACCAGAGACCAUCCAUCUAUUGGAAAGACCUGAAGGAAAUAAGUUUUAAACAGUUAGAUGUUUGAAUGUGUGUUGUAAAAUGUGGAUCCAAUCAAUGACCCUUCAGUCUUUUAUCUUUACUUUCAUCCAGUUUUGUUUCUGCAAGAGGGUUAAUGGCAUAAUGAGUGCUCAGGGAAAAGUCCAUUUCUAUGUUGGAAUAUUUGUUAAUUAUUUGAGAAAUCAUAUUGCCAAAGUGGUUUAAAAAUACUUUUAAAUUCCAAUUACAAGUUUCUCAGAUACAGAAUGUCUCUUAUGGCCAUAACUUCCAACUACAGAAUACUCUAUUGGGAAUAGAUGCCAAAUGCAAGACCACCUUCACGAUUUUGGUAGUAUUCUAAAAAUAGGAAACAAAUUUGGUUGGAAUUUAAUUUCAUCAGAACAAUGAAAUAAUUUUGCACGAAAAUAAGAAUAAAAUAAAAGUAAUUUAUUCAUGAAAAAUUUAGUUGAGCCUUCUUUAAUAAAUAUCAUCACAUCAGUUUAAAUAUAACAUGUGCUACUAUCACUACAAAAAAAAAAAUAAUUUUGUGGGGUUAUUUUUUACAUUUCCGGUGGUUUUAACCUGCAUUACUCGCAGUUUGCUAUGUUCCUAGAAAAUCCAUCGUCACUAACGGAUUAUUGACGAUUUUUACGAAUUUUGGAAAAUAAUUACUUUUCGGCGAUUUUGAAACCCCGUUAUUUCUCGACGGUUUAGAAACUCCAUAAUUUUUGAAACCCUUGUAAUUCCCGACGGUUUCGAAACCCCCGUAAUUCCCAGUGUUUUCAAAACUCCUGUUAUUUCUAGCAGUUUCCGACGAUUUUGAAACCUCCGUUACUUUUAGGAGGUGCACAUAUAAAAAAGUAGGUGACGAAUAAUAGAAAUGUUGAAGCAAAAUAGUCUAACGGUCUUCUGAGAUCUUGUGUUCCUCUCCUACUACCUAACACUAAUACACUACCAUUUUUCAACUUUUUUUUUAUUUACUUUCCAAUGUUUCAUAAUACUAUAUUGGUAUAAUUUUUUCAUAAUGAAAAUAUAGACAUUGAAUUAUUAAUGUAAAAAAUGUGUGUAGUAUGUGAUUAACAUUAUUAAUGCCGAAUAAUUAUAUUAAUGUAAAAAAUACAUAUCACUUACUAAUUCAUUUAUCUUAUUCAUUAAGAUCCAUCUAAUAACCAGAAGGUGUUAGAAUAAUAAACAUAAAGGUUUAGAUUCGAUUCUUAUUAUAAAAUAGUUAAUUGUUUUGGAACAAAAUCCUAAUGACAAUUUGACGUCACUUUCAUUUUUUUGGUGAGGGAAACGGGUCAUUUUUAGUAGUGCCCUUGAUAAAACAUCAUAAUAUCAUGAAAUCUUCCAAGUUCAACAGAGAGGAAACAUGAAACUAUUGUUGAAUGGCUUCGAACUGCCACAGAAUGGCUUCGAACUGCUUUUUAAUUGCUGUGCUGACUAGAACAAAUUUUACCAAAUUAGCUGAUGUGAUAUGAUUCACCCACAAUAGCUGCCACAGAACCUGCAGAAAUAACAAACUUCAAAAACUAGUAGCUACUUCAAAGCAGGUUACAGUUGUAAGGGGCAUUGCACUAAAACUUUAAGGAUGUUUUUGACACACCAAUUUUCCAAAAUGUAACUUAGUUCCAUUCUUUGAACUCUUAUGUACAUACACAUUGGUAGACACCCUUUGAAAAAAUUUGACACACCUUGUUUUGUUUCACUAAAACAACAGGCAUUCCAUUCCAUAACAUUACCUGCCUUAUAGCAUAAUGAUAAGACUUCUAAUAUCCUUCAGUGAUAGUGGUUUCUCCUGCUCGUAAUAUUCCUCAUUAUCAACUAUCAUGAGCAUAUGCCUGAUUAAAGAAGAACAGCUUAUGAUUAAAAGAAAUACUAAAACAGCGUAGAAACUGCAAUUCAUGCAUCAACACAAGCAUUUUAUUAAACAAGCCAAUAGUAUAAAAGAUUGUAAGCAGGACAGAAUACAGAAAGAGACAACAGCCAACCUGGUGCAUCGCCAGAGAGGUAUGAUAACCGUUCAGACAAGGAUGACCAUUUUUUGUUUUCAUGGCACCAUUUCAUAAAAUUCCAAAGUUUAGAAACAAGUUCAGUUCUGUAGGCAAGUACAGAAAUAAUCUUUUCAAGAAGCAAUGUGUUGAAGAUAACAUGUAAAAAUCCACAAACUGCAACCUCCCUGUCCUCUGGCACCCCAAAAAUGUUUUUUGACACUUGAUACAGAAAUCAUUUGCAAGAUGGUAUACCAGUUGGAGAAGGAAGCGAGUAUCUAUGGCAUUAGAGAUUUGUUGAAUCAAUUUCCUAUCCAAAACUACCUCCAUGACUUCAUCUUCGCCAGUCAUUUCAUCCUCAGCAAUUUUAGAGUCUGAAAUUAAAACUACACACAGCUUAAAAACAAAUGGUAAGAGAGAGAAUAAUCUCCCAUACACACACAAAAAAAUAAUAUUUAAUAAUUAUGAUUAAAUAUAGUAACCAAGCUUCAGAGUUAUGCUCAAAUCUAACAUAGAAAAAGUUGCACACUUAUUUUUGCGUAGUAAGUUGACUUCUCUAUGAUAGAUUACUUUGCUUGGGGUUCUAAACAAAGUGUAUCCUUCCACUCUUUUGCAGUUUCUAAUAAUACACUCGGUGUUUGAAGGUAAAACUAGGCUGUGAUGUUACAGAAGUAAUAUAUUGAGGAUUGUUUAUAUUGGGAAGGUGAUCCAUCCUUGAUUAAAGGGUUAGCUUAUUGCCUAGUAGUAUGCAUGUAGAUAUAGAUGUAAUUGUAACAAUACAUUCUUCCUUCUUUUAAAGAGAAGAAAUAUGAUAUUUGUCAAUAAAGUUUAACAAAGAAAAUAGUAUCUUUAAUAAGAAAAGCUUGAAGGUCUGAUCAGAAAUCAUACUCUCUCUACCAUCAGAUCUUGUCUUGUCGGAGAUGGAUAUGAUUCCAGCAAAAAUGUCGUAACAGAAGCAAGGUUUAUAGCAUGCUCAAUUAUCACUGCCUGACAUAGUAUUUGGUACAUCUUGGAUAAUAUUUAGUCUAUUUGUCUUUCUAUAUUCAUCACUUUUUUUCAAUUUUCUUACUUUGAUUGUUAGUUUUCAAAACUGAAAGUGGCAUAAUUAAUUGAAACAGUUGUGUGCAUUGCAGAAAAGUGCGCUCUAUUUUGUUCUUUGAAAAGAAAAUUUAGAAGCAAUAGACCCAUGAAGAGGUUGGUGGACAACAUUAAGUUUAACUAGAAAACCUUUUACAGUUAAAUUAUCAAACCAACAAAAGAAAUCAGUAGACAAGUCAUGAAUACAUAAUACAUUAGCAUAAGAGCUUUUUUACACCUACAUUUUUAGAUCAAAGGGUGGGAGAUCAAACAAAUCUCUGAUAAAUCAUAUUGCUUCAUGAGAUUCUAUAAUCACAUAGCCGAGAUCAGCUACAAUUUACUAUGCUCAGUUACUAAUGUAUUUGAUAUAUAUAUAUAUGCGUAUGUAUUCUAAUUGCUAUAGUUCAAGAAGCUCUACCAUGACAGGAAAGAUGUUGGAAAUCAGACUUAUCCAAUGUGAAAUUUAGCAGAACAACAAAAUAAUAAAAAUUACUAAUGUGAUUACUUUAACAAUUUUGUAAUCAACAAAUCCAUAGUGAUAUUUGCAAUGCUAUGACAUUAUUACUAAUUUUGUUCAAAAGCAAUAACAGAUAAUAACAGCAAAAAGGCAACUUCUAGAAAAAUGCUUGAUUUGGAAAAAAGAAUUAUAUUAUUGCCAAUUAACAAAUAAUCAAUUAAAAUCAUCUGGUCAUCUCCUCUAAAACAUAGAGUUUAUUUUGUUUAGUAAAUGCCGAUUACAGAGUGAAACAUUUGAAACUUCAGAAAAUUGUAAUUAAAAAGGAACAGAGAUACUGUGGAAAAUUAAUUAGCACCAGUAGAAGAGGCAGAGAAAUGGGAAUUGCUCCACAUCUAAUUUUGAACUUGUGCUUCAUCUUAUUACCUAACACUCAGUUUUUCAAUGUGAGCAAUCUUUCCCCAGCUUUGCCUUCUGGAUUCUGACAAUGUUGUUUGAGCAAUGAACAUUCUCAAAUUGUAAGAGAAGAGAUGGAACUUCAUCGGGAAAAGGCUCCACCUUCAAUGUCAACCUUUUCAAUACACAAGCUUGGCAAACAUGUGUUUACAUCCGCUGGUAAGCAUUGAAGGUUGGGACAUUCACGAAGGAGGAGAGUGGAGAGGUGGCAGAGACCCUUCAAGUGCAUCGUUUUAAGAUUUGGGCAAUCAUAGAUUUGUAGAGAGGUGAGAGAGCGUGGCAGCAAAACUUCAUCAGGAAAACACUCCACGUCCAAAUUUACAAUAGACAAGCAUUCAAGACAUGUGUUGGGAUCCAAGGUGUCUCUCAAGGAGGCAAUAACUUUGAAACAUGAAAAAAAAAUAUGUUUUAUAUUUAAUGGCAAACUUCCAUCAAUAUAUAGGUUUAUGAGAUGAUUAUUAGUGGACUCCUGUGAAAUUCUUCUUAUGUUUUGGCAAUUUGUCAGUGUAAAAGAACAGAGCUUUGGAAAGAAAUGUAGUGGAAAGAUUGUAAGAGAGUCGCUGCCUCCAUCAAUAUGCGAUGUGUCCAUACUGUUUCCGCUAAUUCUGAGCUCAUCACUAACAACUACUUUCUUUAAAUCAGUACCUUUCAGUUUGGGACAUUCAAUCACAUAAAGUUGUUGAAGACGUGGAAAAGAAGUAGUUUUACACUCCCAUUCUUCCCAUUCCUUCAUAUGAUGGAAUGUCAGACUCUCCAAGCAUGCAAAUGAAGAGUUGCUCCCAUAAAAUUCAGCACCAAUGCUCACUAUUCCAUCAAGCCCUAAAAUCUCAAGGGUCUUCAGUGAUGACAAAAGUCCAAGGGGAGGCAAACAUAGGCAAUAUUUACAGUCCUCCAACUUUAAGAACACCAGAUUUGAUAACAAAUUAUCGAAUACCCAACUUGGGAAUUCUAUACCACUGUAGUUACAUAUGAACAAACGCUUCAAGUGUGUGUUAGGUUGUAGAUUCUCAAGUACUUUCUUUUCUUUCCUUGUAUCAUUAGGGAUGUGGUCCGACUUCCAUUCUAAUUCUAGAUGCACAAGGUGUUUAUCCUUCACAUUUGCUUCUGAUGCAUCUAAAGGAUUGAAAAUAUUCUGCAAGUCAUUGAUUGAUAGCCAUCCACGAAGAUUGAGUCCUCCCAAUCCGCUCAGUUGCUUAGUACUUAGCUCGCUAUUUCUAUCCACGAAAAACGUACUUAGUACUUGAAGAUUCUUCAAUUCUCCAAAAUGCAUUCGCAUCUUUGACACUCUUGUACCUUUAAAUUCCAGGCAAUGCAAUUUAGUAAGUUUAUGCAAAUUUAAUGGCAAUUUCUUGAACCUUUGACACCAGUUCAACUCCAAGAAACACAAUUUGGUAAGUUUGUGCAAAUUUAAGGGCAAUUCCUCCAGCUUUGAACAAUAGUUCAACUUCAGUAUUAGUAAGUUAUAGAGCAAACACAUCGAGUUAGGUAGCUUUUUUAUCGCAGUAUGCGAAAGAUCUAAUGAAUGGAGAUGUCUAAGAUCACCUAUAGAAUCUGGGACCUCUCUAAGGAAUGAACAAUCAUGGAAAGAUAACAUUCGUAUAAACUUAAUCUUGGAAAACAAAUCAUGUAUUGAAGUCUUGAAAUGCCAUUGAGGUUUCCAUAAUUGUGGGAUAGGAAGAAAUGAACGAAAUCUUUUAGCAUCAAUUAAACUCCCAAAACCAUCAAAACUUUUGACGUCACAAAAUUCAAAUGAAAAAUGACGGGUUGUUUUCGGUAUACAUCUGCCUUUAUCAAAUUUCAACCUGAAACAAGAAUUCGCACAAACAUAUUUUGCCAAAUCAUUCAGAAGGUCAUGCAUGACAUAACCUCUCUUAGCACCUAUACGUUGAAAAAAAGACCUUGACAAUAGAUCAUUGAAGUGCUCUUCACCAACUUCUUCUAGAUGUCUAAUCUGUUGUGGACUUUGUAGAAAAUUUUGGGUCAUCCACAUCAAAAUUAACUCCUUCACAAACUCAUAAUCUUUAGGGAAUAAGGCACAAUAAGCAAAGCACCUUUUAAGAUGAGAAGGAAGACAGCGAUAGCUCAAAAAUAACGCAGGGAUAAUUUCAUUGUGUUCUGGUAACUCCCAUAUAUCACUUUCGAAUAUGCUUUUCCAAUCUGAAAUAGAUGACUUUGUGCGUAAAAGACAUCCAAUUGUUUUCAGAACUAGAGGUAAUCCCUUGCACUUCUCAACUAUUCUUCUACCAACCUUCAUUAACUCAUCAUUCAAUUCAAGAUCACCAUCUUUAAUUGCAUGAUUUUCAAAAACUUUCCAGCCAUGCUUUGACGUGUGGAUCUGUGAACUGCUUUAGUUCAGCAUCAUCAGCGAGAGCAUUGAUGGAAUGCAGCUUGAUGUUCAAAUUGGCGAGGAGUUUCUCAUCAAGUUUUCUUCCAGGAAAAAAGUCCAGAAGUUGAGGAGAAGUCAGCUUGUCGAAUGCAACCUGAAGAAAGGCGGAAAGAAGAGCACCACCAACAAAUGAAGUGAAUGGAAGUGUGUGAUUUGAAAUGGACAGUGAUUAAGUGCAAGGAAUCUUUCUCAAUCAAUGACCUUUUUUAAGUCUUCCCAUCAACGGUUUCUGAUAAACAAAAUAUUCACAGCUCUAAUCCAUGAAUGGAUGUCUCACAAUAAGAUGCAAUAAACAAAUAUGCCUCGUAAACUUUCAUAUUCUCUAACUUCAGAUAUAUUAUAAUUAAGCAUAUCUAUUUUAUGUCUACGUUUUUUUUUUUUUGUUAAAGAUCCGAUUUGUUUCUUAAUGUAUGUUGUUGGAUUUUAUUUUAUAAUAUUUAUACUUUGUUUAUGAAUUUCCAAGCUAGCUUAAUUAGUUACCGUUUGUAACGUAUGAGGUGUUUUUUAGAACUUGUGUAUAUAGGGACAGAAUGAAAUAAGAUGGUGGGAUACUUAAAGGGUCUUAUAAAGCUAGAUAUUUAUUCUUAAAUAAAUAGGAAAUGUGUUUUUAGUGGAAACAAAAACAUUUUGCAUUUUGACAAAUUUUGGGAAGAAGUUACUAUAAAAAUGNNNNNNNNNNNNNNNNNNNNNNNNNNNNNNNNNNNNNNNNNNNNNNNNNNNNNNNNNNNNNNNNNNNNNNNNNNNNNNNNNNNNNNNNNNNNNNNNNNNNAAUACAAAACCGAGAGGUCUCAUUUUUUGCAUGGCAGAAAACAAAAACCGAGAGGUUUUCUCAUUUUUUGCAUAGCAGAAAACAAAAACCGAGAGGUUUUAUCAAAAAACCGAAAGGUUCCAAUACAAAACCGAAAGGUCUUAUCAAAAAACCGAAAGAUUCUAAAACAAAAACCGAGAGGUCUCAUUUUUUGCAUGACAUAAAACAAACACCGAGAGGUUUUAUCGAAAAAACCGAAAGGUUCUAAUGCAAAACCAAGAGGUCUCAAGACAAAACCGAGAAGUCUAAAUAAACAUUGGCGUAUCAGUAUCAAGUCCAAAAGUUCAAGCCUAUAAAAAUAGUCAAAAUUGGUCUCUAACUCCAAAAUUAGAAAGUUCAUAGACAAUUAUUUUCGGUUCAAACUCAAAAAUUGAAAGUGGACAAUCACAUCUUCACUUUAUCUUUCAUGCACAUUUGUGAUAAAUAAAGAUUAUUCACUAGCAAAUAAUUGGGAUACGUGCAAAAUAACUAUCAAGUGGCUGGGACAAAACAUGUUACAUCAUCAGUGCCACCCUGGAACUUUACUUGGGAGUUCUUACAAACCAACUGAAACACGCUAUUCGGCGCCGGCACGCCUCACAUCAUCAGUGCCACCAUCUUCAUCUUCAUCUUCAUCAUAAGGAAUUUCACUGAUGGGCAUCAGUUCGUCAUUAUAAAAAUCUUUGCCCAUGUCGAAAUUUCCAGCAUCCGAUGGACUCUUGUAAAAAUACUCGGCUUGCUGGAGAGGUUUUGCUAAACCCAACUUGUGUUGCUGAACAACAUAACCCUCAGCUCGAGUAACCCUUGAAUUCAAGUGGUUUUUCACAGAUUCUAAACGAAGAUUAUUAUCAGCUUCAGCGAAGUUUCCUUUCAAACGUUGAAUCUCAUUGUCAAGGGAUAACUUAUGAGUCGUUAACUCAGUAACCUCAUCCUUCAAAGACUCUUUCUCGGCUUCAUCACAAUCAUUAGCCUUAGACAAACUCUUCAACUUGGGAAGUUAAGGAUAUGAUCUUCUCAUUUGAUUCAGUUGCUUCCUUUUUCAAUUUUUCAAGUUCAAAAGAAGAAACAUCCUUAGUCUCUUCUCUUAUUGCUUUGCCAAUUAGUAAACUCCGACUAGUAGCCUACGAGAACAUGUCACGGGAAGAAGCAUUGGGACUAGUAUGCACAAAAUCCGAAAGUUAUAGGUCGAAAAGUUGGCCGAAAGGAAAUCCGAAAGGUAAACGGCCGAAAGGUAAACACAUCUUCAAACAAAGCAAAAAUUAUGUUAUUCAAGACUCUUGCUGGAUUCAACCAACUCUUUAUUCAGCUUCAAGAUCUAUAGCUUCUUCACUUGAACUCCUCACUACUAACUUGCUCGAUGACAUUGCAAGUAUUGUCCGAACGCCCGCUCGCUCGAUUAUCAUCGCGAGUGCCGGCCGAUCACUCACCAAAUUUGCUCGAUUCAUCUCAAUUACUUUCCUGAUAGCCUCGUUACUCAUGUCCACAAAUUCUGUAAAUUCAUCAGAAAUCGAAACAGAGCCUGCAGAAGACAUUAUACCUUUUGAGAGUAUUCGGUUCAAUCUUUCUGAAUCAAUAAAAACAAAAAACCCUUCCAACCGAAGCGUUACGAUAUCACAAUUAUAACUCGUCAUGUUAAUCGACAUAAUCAAGAAAAGUACACGAAACAAGGCAAUACUUUGAUACGGAAGGUAUUAACUACAAAAUUUGUCCUUUUCAUUAGGCAUAACGUCUUUUUCAAAUCCUCAUGCCUGGGGGGCUAGUGUACUGUCUCGACCGAAAGGUCAACUGAAAGUCUCGACCGACCGAAAGGUUGUACGGCCGAAAGGUCAACCGAAAGUCUCGACGCCGAAAGGUCAACUGAAAGUCUCGACCGACCAAACGGUUGUGCGACCGAAAGGUCAACCGAAAGUCUCGACCGACCGAAAGGUUGUGCGUAAAAUUAAAUUAGUGAUUAUAGCAAAGCCCAUAAGAUGGGCCCAAAUAUACAGGUGUGUGUUUUCAAAAUGUUAGGUGCAAAAAGAAAAGACCUAAGUAACUCUUAAGCCCAAUAAGAGAGUCUUAUAAAUAGAGGUUCAACUCAAAAGGUAAGGAGAAUUUUCAAUUGAUCUGAUAAGCAAAAAACUAUAUCUGACUUUGGCAUCGGAGCGCCUUGCAGGUACACACACCCACCUGUGAGGAGAAGAAGUCGAGAGCCCAACCCGAGAAGAAGCCGAGAUCACCUAGCUGAAGGAGAGGCCGAGAGCGCCUAGCUAAAGGGGAAGUCGAGAGCACUUAGCCGAAAGAGAAGCCGAGAGCCCAACCCGAGAAGAAGCCGAGAUCACCUAGCCGAAGGAGAAGCCGAGAGCACUUAGCCGAAAGAGAAGCCGAGAGCAUCUACCUUGAGGAGAAGUCUAGAGCACCCAAUGUGAGAAGAGACCUAAACCCUAAACCCUAAACCCUAAACCACACGCAGCAUUCGUUCCCAUUUUAAUCUUAAAUUUCAUCUAGGUUUUGUUUCUGCUAGGUUUCAUCUUGCAUAAUAUUUAGUCUAUUUUUGUCUUUCUAUGUUCAUCACUUUUUUUCAAUUUUCCUACCUUGAUUGUUAGUUUCCAAAACUGAUAGUAGCAUAAUUAAUUGAAACAGUGGCGUGCAUUGCAGAAAAGUGCGUUCUGUUUUGUUCCUUGAAAAGCAAAUUUAGAAGCAAAUAGACCCAGAAAGAGGUUCAGAAAAAAAAGUUUAGUUAGAAAAAUGGAGUUUAGAAGUCUCUAAUUGUUCAUUUCAAUUUUUUAGUAUAGUUCGCUGAACUAAUCAGUAAUAGUUCAGUGUUGACGAGGAUAAAUUUGUUUUGUUUUAUGCUGGCACAGGUAAAAUAUAUUGUAAAAUUUCUAAAGCUUCUUCCAUUAACAAAUACAUGUGUCUUUUCUUAGAAGAAUUUCAAGUUAAAGUUGUAAUGUCAGAAGUAAAAGGUAUUUGCAAUGCUCACUGCUUCAAUUUUUUUUUUAUCAGCAAAGAAUUAAAAUUAAAUUUAAACGGGACAUUUCAGGGAUGUCCCAACCCUUAUACAAACCUCCUCCAUCACAUAUAGAUAAAACACAUGUGGAACAGAGUUAUAGAUAAACCUGAGAAACUUUGGCAUAGAAACAGGGAAAACCGAAAGCUAUUAACCAAAAAAGAUAAGUGCAACCAUGCAGCAAAAGCAGGAGGAAACUUCCCAGCACAGUGCUCCCUUCUGUAUCUCAAGGACCAUGAACCAGCGCUCACUAUGACACGUGGCACUUCCUAUCUUUCAACUUUAGCAUGCCAGCACCUGUUUGUAACUCCUGUAUCCUUUCAAGUGUCCUUGGGUUGCCUAUCUUACGUACUUGGCCUCAACAUUUGACCCAGUUAAUUCACCGAACACCGCCUACAAACUUGAGAACAAAAACCUGCACCAUGCAACGCCCGUUGGUUCAGACACAUUGACGCUCACCCCCCGUUUCGGCCUACUCCUUAGCAUCUCUGCUUACUCCACUCCAGCUAAUAGCAGUAACCAGAAAAUGCCGGAGCUCCUCUCCAACAGACCUGAUAAACCUUAAGGACUUGAUAACGGAGGUCAGACAUCCAACUUUUGUUCCAGCCUCCAUACCAGCUAAACCUUCUAGGUUUAUAAACUUCACGCAUCCUGCAAGAACACCCUACAACAGUACUUACCACGAGCUCAGCAAUCUGGGUGUUGCUUGCCCAGAGCACUCCACGCUAACAGAUUGUAUGCACUUCUUUGCUAAGACCUAAACCUGCUGUCACCGGAGAACCAUAAGGCACUGGUUCGGGUUCAAAAUCCAGUCAGAUAGCCCAUAUGAAAAAUCAGUUGUGUUGUGUUUUAUCCACAACCAGGAUUGUACUUGAGCAUUUUGGAAUACUUCGUCCGCAUCUGGUACCCCAUCCUUAAAAACUAUCAGGUUCCUCUGCUCCCAAAUGCACCUGAUAAUUAUCACCCACAAACCUAUCCACACUUGAUUUUGCUUGCUAGAGAGGUGGAUUAAGUGAAAGUUCAGCAUAUGGUUCCUAAUAUCCUUGUUAUGGGCCCCCAAAACACCAAUCCAGCGAUAGCAUCGAGACCAGACUUGUUGUGCAAGGGUGCAGUCAAGGAACAGGUGUUGGGAUGAUUCUACGGCCAGAUUACACACAGGGCAUAAGGAAGAGAUCAUGUGCACUCCUCUUCUAGAAAGGUUAACUCUGGUAGGAAUUCUGUCAUGAAGGACUCUCCAUGCAGUUAUAAGUGCUUUUGGUGAGGCUUUUGCUUGCCAUAAGGUACUGAACACUCCUUCGUUUUCCCCCGUAGCUUGGUGAUUGGCCAGAACAGAGUAGGCUGAUCUCACUGAAAAAAUUCCAGUUGGAUCCUUCCUCCAUACAAGGUGAUCGUGAGAGUCCUUACAUAUAACUCCCGUAUACAAGCUUGAGAGCAUAUUUUCCUCCAUGCUUGACUCCCAAUCAUACCUAUCCCUUCUCCAAUUAAGCUGCCACUGCCACCUAUCAUUCUCCCAUCCUCCUACCUCCCCCACCGUCUUACCCUGAUCAAGCGACAAAGAAUAGAGUCUAGGAUACAGGGCUUUUAGGCAAAAAUUUUGUAACCACGUGUCCUCCCAAAAACGGACUAGGCCUCCAUCGCCUAUUCUCCACACAAUGGCGUUGUGGAACCAAUCUUCCUCUUCCCCGUCACCACAUACCUUAGCUAGGUCCUUCCACCACCAUGAUUGGUAUCUCUUCCUUGUCUCUCCUCUAAUUGUUUCUGUACCAUAUUUAGAAACAAUAAUAUCCUUCCAUUUUCCUCCCUCAUUAUUCAUGAUCCUCCAUUUCCAUUUUGCCAAAAGAGCCGCAUUAAAGAACCUAGUCUCUUUAAUGCCCAACCCUCCUUCCUCCUUGUGCCUACAAAUAUUUUUCCAACUUACCCAAGAGAUUGAUUUAUUUUCACUACCCCAUGCCCAAAGGAACUUCCUUUGCAACCUGCAGAUGCUGUCAUGUACAGCUGCAGGGGCUUUAAAAAUAGAGAAGUAAAACAGAGGUAUGGCAGUGAACACCGACUGGAGCAGACAAAUUCGGCCCGCCAUAGAUAAGAAUUUUCCUUUCCAAGUACUAAGUCUGGACUCAAUUUUCUUUAUUACCGGCUCCCAAAACUGUUUCUUCCUCGGGUUUCCCCCCACUUCGACUCCCAGAUAUUUAAGAGGGAGCCGCAUGGUGUUACAGUUUAGGGUCUUCGCAUAGGUAUCCAGGGUAUAGCUGUCAACACUAAUGCCUACCAACUUCGAUUUGUGGAAAUUAACUUUCAAUCCAGACAGGAUUUCAUAGCACCGGAGGAUGGCUUUGAUAGAGAAAAUAUUUGAGAAGGAAUCUUCACACAUAAAAAGUGUAUCAUCUGCAAACUGAAGUAAGCAACACUCAAUACUGCUUCUUCCCACCUUUACUCCCCUGAGAACAUUCAUACGUAGCGCUUGUCUUACCAACCCUGCUAAACCUUCGGCUACCACUAGGAACAAGAAGGGAGCUAGGGGGUCCCCCUGCCUCAACCCCCUAGAAGGUUGGAAUUCCUCCGUAGGGCUCCCAUUGAUCAAGACAGAAACAGUCGACGACACCAAACACCCUUUAACCCACAAGAUCCAUUUAUCAUGAAAACCCAAUCUACAAAGCAUAUCAAACAAGAAAGACCACCUCACAGAGUCGUACGCCUUUUCAAAGUCUACCUUAAAACAGACCCCGCUCCUCCUAUUUAACUUUAACUCUUCUAAAAUUUCGUUAGCCAUAACAACACUACCCGUUAACCCUCUUCCACUAAGGAAGGCGGACUGACAAUCGUCAAUGAUCAUCGACAUAACUUUCCUCAUGCGUCGGGACAAGAUCUUUGUGAUUAUCUUAUAAAUAACUCCUACAAGAGAUAUCGGACGAAAUUGAUCUAGCGAGGAAGGGUCUCUAACCUUGGGGACAAGAGCAAUGAAGGAGGCAUUGCAACCUUUCGGAAAAGUUCCCGUAGCAUGAAAAAAGUGCACCGCUGCCAUAACAUCAGGCUUGAUCACAUCCCAAGAUGACUUAACAAAGUUGAAGUUAAAGCCAUCCGGGCCCGGGCUCUUAGACCCUCCACACUGCCACACAGCAUCCUUCACUUCAUCCUCGGAAAAAGUACUUGUCAUGUUCCUGCUCACCUCAGGAGAUAGAGAUUUAAAGUCCACUAUACCCAGAUUAAUGCCAUAGUCCUGUGUAGCCGUGAAGCGCUUUUCAAACAAAGACUUAGCUUCCCUACGAACAACAUCCGGUUCUUCACACCACAAACCGUCAAUCUCAACCCCUUUGACCUCAUUCUUAAGUCUUCUCCAUCUAAUUGCAUUGUGGAAGAAUUUUGAGUUAAUGUCCCCAUGCUUAAUCCAGUUCCCCCUCGCCUUUUGUCUGUAUAAUGAGUCUAACUUUUUCUCAAUCAACCCCAAUUGGCUGAAUAAUUCCAUUCUUCUCAACUUACCAUUUUCCACCAGAACAUCAUUGUCAUCUUUGACAUCAAGAUCCUCUAUUUCUGCCACAAUAUUUUUCUUUUUAAGUUCCAUACAGCCGAAUUCUUCUUUAUUCCACACUCUUAUAUCAGCCUUCAGGAGCUUCAAUUUAUCCUUAAGAGAGGACAUACUAUUGCCAUGAACAGAAUAUGAUCCCCAUUUUUCCUUUACCAGAGCCUUAAACCCCGGUUCUUCAAGCCAUACAUCUAAAGACCUAAACGGUUUAGGCCCCCAGUCUUUAACACACGACUUCAACACCAGGGCACAGUGGUCAGACACCAUUCUUGGUUGUACAUGUUGCUUAGAUGCAGGCCAUUGGUUGAGCCACUCCUCAGAGACCAAGAUUCUAUCAAGUCUACUCUUAGCCGUGCCAUUGGAUUUGAACCAAGUGUACUUUUUACCAACAAAGGGUAGGUCCACCAACCCAUUACUUUCAAUAAAGCAAUUAAAACCGUCAAUCUCCUUCUUUUGGCUUAAGCUACCUCUGAUCCCUUUCCUUUCAUCUUCACUCCUAACAGCGUUGAAAUCACCACAGACACACCACGCCAAGUUCACAUAUGUUUGCUUAAGAGCCGUCAAAGUUUCCCACAAAACACCCUUAUCCUUUAGGUUACACGCUGCAUAGACAUUUACCACUACGCACUGACGUUGAGCUUUCAGAUGUUGGCCCACAAUUGCAAUGUAACCUUUUCCAAUCACAUGGCUGCCAUACUCGAACACUUCUUUGCGCCACAUAGUUAUCAUACUCCCUGCCCCAUUAACCCCUUCGUAGUGGACCCAACCGAUACUACUUUCACCCCAUAAAGAGAAACACUUAGAAUCUGAAAAAGAUGUGGAUUUAGCCUCCUGCAGGCAUAAGAACUCAGCACCCUCCUUUCCCACAAUGUGUCUCAAGUACCGUGCUUUCGUCCCCCCUCCCAACCCUCUUAUAUUGAGAUUUACUAUAAUCAUGGACCCACUUUUUUCUUCCCCCCCUUAGACUUAUUGUUAACUUCAUUGUCUCUUACCUCCAAACGGCCCAAUUCUCCUACCACUCCCUCCGCAUCCCCUGAGCAUUGUAACCCCAAGUUUUGGCCUAACUCCCAAACUCUAACGGAUUCAGCAGCUUGCUCUUUUGACUUAAUCCGACUAUUACACAGAUUAAUAUCAUUAAUCGAUUCAGCAAAGGAGCAGCGACUUAACCUGGAUGAGGAGGUUACACCAUGGAGGGAUCCGAUACCGCCGUUGGUUCUCCAUUUUGGCUGGGCGAUUUUGCUCUCCAUCAAUCUACGAAAUUCCGGCGAGGUUUUGCUUGCCCCUUCUGUGUGGGUUGACGCCUUUUUCCCAUUAGUUGUCCCCAUUCCGCACCCCUCUCGUCGGCGAUUUGUGCUUACACUGGGCUGGGGAUCUGAACUUCCUGAUGAUGAAUCUUGCCCCUCACUAAAAUGAUGCGUUGCAUGGCAUGGGGAGAGACCCGAAUCCUUUUCCUGCACCAGCUCCACUGCUGAGAGGGCAACUCGCCCACUCAUUUUCGACGUAGAACAAAGGUGUGGAGGUGGAGACAAGGCCAGAACUCCAACCCCCUCCUCGUAACCCAUUUUUCGUUCCGAUUCCUCUUUCCAAAAAGGCACUGGGCCUCCCUCUUCUUCUUCUUUACUAGACGCACCCUGGCUCUCUAAUUGGGCUUCAACUUGCUUAGGCCCAAGAAGGUUUGCACUUUGAACCCCUUCAAGUAGGUUAACCAAGCAUUGUUGAAUUACUGUGCAGGCUGCGUUGACUUGGCUUGGAACUGAUAAAGCAGCCCCUCCCUCUGACUCCCCUAUCACUUGUUUUCCUUCUAUGACAGCUGCAUUAGCUAUGCUAGAAGCUGCUAAAGCAGCCCCUCCCUCGGACUCCCCUCGCACACGUUUUCCUUCAUUUAGAGACAAAAACCCACUUUUGUUCUGACAUCCCAUAUCACUCCGUGCCUUCUUGUCAAACUGCUUCCACUUUGUCUCCUGCUUCAGUUGGGAUUGCCCUACCUCCUCGGGUACCACACCCCACCGCCUGUUGCACUGGUUUCGGUCAGCACCUUCCUCUCCAGAGCUUCCUUCGGAAAAAGUUCCCUCCACAACAGUUUCCGACGACGAAAUGCUAUCCGAUGAGCCAAGAUGAUAUUCAAGACAAGAACAAUCUCCACUCCUUAAACUCAAGAUCUCUUCGACCAGGGAAAUGUUGUAAACUUGACCAUUAAUCCUAAAACCCUUCGCCAUUUCUGCUUUCUGAGAUCUAGGUAGCCGAACCAGCAAACGGGCGUACUCCAGAUUCUCCCAAGAAAGAGUAUUUUCAUCGAUAUCUACCAGCGAUGCUACCUCUCCAACCACCCUAGAGAAGCAAUCUUUAUUCCACAAAGUUAUCGGUACACCAAAACACCUCACCCAUACAAUUUUAUGGUCCACUACAUACUUUGCGGACCAGGGUUCGAUACUACCGAACAACGAUAGAAACCAUUCCUUGUUGAGCUCGAAGAGAUCUUCCAUCCGCUCUCCUUCCUUAGGAGUAAGUAGAAUAAGAUUAUCACCCAAAAACCUCAGUUUAAUCAUGUUCAUGCCCCCUUUAACGAACUCAUCCUUAAGGGAGUCGAAAGUAAGAUCAGGGGACAUCCAACCAACCGCACUACGAACCAACCAUGGUGGGGUAUUUGAUUUUGUUACAAAAACAGGGCCUUUCCAUUCGCCUCGCUCAGAUACGCGAACGGCAUCAGCAUAAGACUGUUUAAGGGAAGGGCCUCUACGAACUGCUUGCCCUGAUACAAAAAAUUUUUCACGCCAAACCUCCUUCCCCUUUGACCGACCCCCUGGGCCAUUGCCAUGACUGAAAUCACUUUGGCGCACCUUUGGCUUUUCCUUACUAAAAUCAACCUCUGGUCUCCUGUAUUUUGGGAGGUUAACAUAAAGUUUGAGGUUGCCAAUAUAGAUUUGAUCCAGCUGCUUCUCCAACCUCGCCUCAUUUGGCACUGGGAAGAAACUCACAAAGCCAAAUCUUCUACCCCAUCUAUUUGGACGUUUAGAUAUAAACACAUCUUUCACUCUAGCCCAUUUUUGAAAGAUUCUUAGCAUGUCUUGCUCCCCAUGACUAGUUGGGAAAUUAGAGAAGAAGAAAGUGCUUGAGUUUUUGGUUGAAGACUUUCCUGCCUUAUAAUCUGCCACUCUUCGCCGAUGAUCUUCCCUUUCCCACCUACUCCGAUCUUCCUUUUCCCACCUUCUCCGAUCGCCCAUCACUCUUUUGCUCACUGCUUCAAUGCUCACUGCUUCAAAUACAACUUCAAGUUGUAUGAAAGGAAGUUUAAAAGUAUUUACAUUUCACAACUCCCUUUGCUUCAAUUUCCCUCUCUCAUGUAAGAGUCACAAUUUCAAACCCUUUUACUUGUUUUCUCCGUAUUUCAUCGUAGAAUGGUUUUGUACAAAAAGACAUAGAAAGACCUAUGGAAGAAAUAGGGUUGAAACACAUGCAUAACAGUUACCAUCACUUCUAAAGGUUUGCAUCAAGGUAGAAUGAGAGGUCAAGAAGAAUAUCCCCAUAGAAUUGCUUAGAAUCCUUUGCCAACCGAAGAAGGUGUCUCCCUCCGGAUUCAGAUUGGAAUACUGUGAAAAAGAUAAUGUGAUUAUCAAUCAAAUCAUUAAUUUAAAAUUAACAAACCAACAAAAGAAAUCAGAAGACAAGUCAUGAAUUAUAUUAGCAUAAGAUUUUGUACAGCUACAUUUUUAGAUCAAUGUGUGGGAGAUCAAACAAAUCUCUGAUAAAUUAUAGUUUAACCAUAUUGCUUCAAUGAGAUUCGACAAUCACAUAGCUGAGAUCAGCUACAAUUUACUAUUGUCAGUUACUAGUGCAUUUGAUAUAUAUAUAUAUAUGUGUCUGUUACUAUUAGUAUAAUUGAUAAUAAUAAUAAUAAUAAUAAUAUUCUUAUUAUUAUAAAUAAUAUUAAUAAUAAUAAUAACAAGUGUUAAUAAUAAUAAUAAAAUUAAUAAAAAGUAAUAUAAAUAAUAAUAAAUAUUAUUAUUUUAAUAUUACACCGUGCAUUAGUAGGUAUAUGCCAUUCACAUGGUUAAGGCCUGCAUUAGGAUUUUAGGUAAUAUGUCUAAACAAUAUAUGUCUAAUCAUAUGGAUGGAAUUUCGCUCUUAAAAGUUAUUUUUGACAUUAGCACGAGCCUAGUAAGGUUUUUAUUCAUGUACAAGUGUAUUGAGACUUUCCUGUUGUAUGUUGGGUUAAAGUGAACAUUGAUGAUGAUGCUUGAGAGUCUCCUAACCCUGCUGCUUGUGCAAGUAUCCUUAAAGGAAGUCACGAGGACUAUAUUGGUGGUCUUGUAUGUUCCUGUUUCUUACCAAAAUUUUGAUUUGAUCUCCACAUGUUUUUUAUCUUUUUAUGUUAUGUUUCAUGUAAUAUUGACAAAAAAAACAUCUUUAACAGCAAACAGUCAUGGCUUAACAAGUGUAUCUUUGAACUACUUUGGCUAUGCAUCAUGAGCGAAAGCAUUGAUGGAAAACAACAUUUUGAUGUUGAAUUUGUUGAGCAGUGCUACAUGGAAGUUUCUUGUACGAAAGUAGUUUAGAAAUAACAGAAAAAAGUGAACCACCAAUGCAUGCUGCUGUCAUGCUAGGAAUAGUACAAUACAGGGUUUGUAUACAUACACAAGUCAACAAAUAGUUGUUAAGUCUUCCAUUGACAUUCAGAACUAAAGAGAAGUACAGAGUGUGACUUUGGAAGAGGUGUGGAAGAAAUAAGGUACAAAGAAACGCAUAACACCCAAAAGGGUAACAUCUCCUGAAGGCUCGAUUCACAUAAAGUCUAAGCACAUUGUUCAGUGUCCUGCUCAGAAUUCUGGUGAGCUGAAGAGACUUCCUUCUACUCCCUCCAUACAUACAAACAAAUACUGUAAACAAGAUAGUGUGAUUAACUCAUUCACUUCAAAAUCAAGACCCCAAAAAAGAAUGUACAUCAGCAUACAAAUUUUUUAGAGCUUCAUAUUUAGAUUUUUCCAAUUAAAGUGCAGUGCUAAAGCUUCACAACACAAUGCUAAUUGCAUUCACUGCUAGCUCCAUGUUUAGAUUAAAAAUAUGCGAAAUUAAACAAAUUUAAGAUAAAUUAUUGUUGAGCCAUAUUGAUUAAAGGAGAUUCUGCAAUGGGGUUGGAGUAGCUACAUACAGCUUGAAUUGAGUAUGGUUAGUGAGUGAUGUAGUUGAUGAAUGAUAAAGCACAUGUCUCUGCCAUUAAUGUAUAUUCUAAUUCCUACUUUCAGAAGCAACUAAGAAAAUUGUAAUCGAAAAGGUACAAAAUAUUGUGGAGAAUUAGAACCUGUUGAAGUGGCAGACAAAUUGAAAUAGGUGCACGCCUAAUUUUGAACUUGUCACUCAUCUUAUGGCCAAACAUCUAAUUUUUUAUGCACGCCUAAUUCUGACAACGCUCCUCCAGCAAUGGACAAUUAAAGAUUUCAAGAGAAGAGAUGGAUUUGGGGAGACCCUCCGCUGGUAAGCAUUCAAGGCUGGGACAAAAAAGAAGUGAGAGAGAGGAGAGGUGGCAGAGACCCUUGUAGUGCAUCUUUUUAAGAUUUUGGCAAUAUUGGAUUUCUAGAGAGGUGAGAGAGCGUGGCAGCAAAACUUCAUCGGGAAAACACUCCACCUCCAACUGUUGAAUAGUCAAGCUUUGAAGACAUGUGUUGGGAUCCAAGUUGUCUCUCAAGGAGGCGAUAAGUUUUAAACAUGAAAGAGACAUUUCUUUUAUAUUUAAUGGCAAACCUCCAUCUGGGAACAACUCAACUUCUGGACACAUAGUUAUAUGCAGCAAGGUAAGGGACGGAAACAUGAUUUGCAUGGGUUUGGGAAAAAAGAAUGAUUUAAAUUGAGGGCAAUCUUCAAUAGGUAGAUCCAUGAGAUGAUUAUGAGCGUACUCCUGUGAAAUUCUUUCUAUGUGGUGGCAGUAUAUCAGUUGAAGAGAACGGAGCUUUGGAAAGAAAUGUAGUGGAAAGAUUGUAAGAGAGUCGGUGCCUCCAUCAGUAUGCGAUGUGUCCAUACUGUUUCCGCUAAUUCUGAGCUCAUCACUAACAACUACUUUCUUUAAAUCAGUACCUUUCAGUUUCGGACAUUUAUCCACAUGAAGCUUUUGAAGACGUGGAAAAGACGUAGUUUUACACUCCCAUUCUUCCCAUUCCUUCAUAUUGUAGAAGUGGAAAUGAAGUGAAAUGGAUUGAGUGGAGGAAUGAAUGGUAUAGUGAUGAAUGAAAAGAGUAGUUAGAAAAGAUGACUUGACUUUAAGAACAUGUUUUUCUUUUAUGGCAACUCAACCAAUAUAAAAUGUGAGCUGUUGGAUAUUCAUUCAACGGUUGUGAUGAAUGAACGAAUGGAAAGAGGGUUGUGGGCCCCAGUGAAGUAGUAAUUGUUAACUGUUUCUGAUGUACUAAAUUUGAGAGUUAUUUUUUAUAUGAAAUUAGCUUUCAGAUUAUAUAAUUCAGAAGUUUUUUUUUUUAAUUGCGUGAUUAGCUUUUGGAUUAUAUAAUUUAUAGGUAUUUUAAAUCAAAAAAAACUUAAGGAUUUUAUAAAUAUAAAAAAAAAGAAUAAAAUGGUAUUUUUAUAUUUAGUAUGGAGGUAGAAGGUAUUGAAGUUGAGGAAGAAGCAGUCUUGAUCAUCACACACAAGUGCUAAUAACCAACCAAAUAUAGUGGUCCACAAAACUCAAGACGAAAGAAAAAAUGAGAACCUAGAGCAGUGCACUCCAAUGGAGGAGAAGGAAAACCAAAAUCUAUUUUUAAUUUUAAAACCCUAGAGGGUAAUUUCGUCUUACCCAGCCUAUUCCAUUACAAAUUAAUGGGUUAACUUCAUUUUUUAAAAAUGGUAACGUUUUAGUUUAGUUUUUUUUUCUCUUAUUAUUUUCUAAUAUGAAAACUAAAAUCAAUAUGCAUAUAUUGACUAUAAUAUAUAUGUAUAUGUAUAUGUAUAAUAAUAAUAAUAAUAUCAAUAAAUGGAAAUUCUAAAUAUAUAUCAUAUAAAAAACACUAAAUAAUAAUUAGAAAUAACAUUCAAAUAAAAUCUAAAUAAUUAUCUCAAAAGUCAAUCCAACAUAUUCCUUUUGAAACAUAAAAUCUAAAUAGGAAAAUACAAUCCAAAAUCAUAAAAAUAUAUUACUAUCCAAUAUCAAUAAUUCACGUCUCUAGCCUUUACGUAAUAUUAGGGUUAGAGUCUUGAAUGCAAUAAUAAAGAUUAUAUUUUUUUUUUUAUCCCCAUAUACAAUAAGAAUUUUUUAAUUAUAAAAGAUUAAGUAAUAAAUAAUUAAACUAAUGGUACCUGUUCUAUAUUAUGUAACUAAUUUUGAGUUAAAAUAAAUGUCUCGAUAUUUUUUUGAAGGAUAGAACANNNNNNNNNNNNNNNNNNNNNNNNNNNNNNNNNNNNNNNNNNNNNNNNNNNNNNNNNNNNNNNNNNNNNNNNNNNNNNNNNNNNNNNNNNNNNNNNNNNNNNNNNNNNNNNNNNNNNNNNNNNNNNNNNNNNNNNNNNNNNNNNNNNNNNNNNNNNNNNNNNNNNNNNNNNNNNNNNNNNNNNNNNNNNAUAUUAUAUAUAUAUAUAUAUAUAUAUAUAUAUAUAUUGUAAAAACUUUCAUGUUAGACAUUAUUAUGUAACUUGACAUCUCAGGUAGGUUGACAUUAUAAAAACAGAUUCACAAAACUGUACUCAAAUAAAAGUAAUCAACCAAAAUUAGCAAUAAAAGGACUACAAGGAAUUGAUGACAUUGUAGGAAAAACAUGACUAGACAAAACAAAUAUGGAUUCUAAAAUCAAAAUGACUCAAACACAAUGAAUUUCACCAAUUAAAAAUAGCAAGAAAGACUCAAAAUAAAGCAAAAACAGAAUUACUAACACAAAAACAGAAUCAAAGUAUCCAACAACUCAAAAAAAAAUUUCAGCACAACCAUAACACUAGAUACCACAUGAUAUGAGCUGGAUUGACACUAAACAAGAUACACAACAUAUAAGGAGGCUUAAGGUCAUCUCAAUGGAGGAUAAUGCCAUCCAAAAGAGAAGCCAAACUCAUUCAAACAAUGAGUGCCACGUCAUUAUCACAAACACUUGGCGGAAUUGAAAGGAAAGCAAGAACAAAAUAAGAACACAAAUAGAAAAACAAUUGAAAUGUGUAAUUGCAAAAACUGGACAGAAUUGAAAGAAGAAAUGAAUCUAUCUAUUGAAAUUGAAGAAACAAGAUGAAGGAAGAUGAAACUUAUGUGGUUGAAGCUUGGUUUGGGAAAUGGACACGCCACUUGGAUGAUGAAUGUUCCAAGAUAAGUGCAGAUUUGCCGCCACUUGAAUGCUCCCAAUGCAUCACAAGAUAAGACAAGGAAGAGGAGAACUAGUCUCACAAUCACUCACAAAUUGAGCAUAGUAACUUUACUCUAUUUUCAAAUCUGAAUUUUACAAGAGCAAGCACCUCUAUUUAUAGCCUUAGAGGUGCUGAAAUAAAAAGCUAAUCAAAUUCAAAUUUCCCUCUAAAUCUAAUUCAAAUUUGGAGCCAAACUUGAGUCACAUGGAAGGUGUGACCUUAUGUUGGGCUUGGGCCUCAUAUUUUUAAGAAGACUACUAGGAAGAACUUCAACUAUUGUUGUCCUUGACCAUUCCUCUUAUUGAUGGCCUCUGUAACUGCUUGUUGAGAAUACCUUUAGAGUAUAGCAUCCUUGGUCAUCUUCAUGUAUUUUUCAUUCUCAUCACCUUUUGUGAUUUGGUUAUGGAUGUGCCUCCUUACCUGAGCGCAAACAACAUAUGAAAGUUCUUGUGUGAAUUUUUUCAGCGCAAUACGGACCCAGAAUAAAAUUGCACAAAGUUGGGCGAAAUUUCACUAGUUUUGGUAGAGGAUAGCCUUUGGUUUGCACAAAAUUUAUGAAAAAUUCUCCCGAAAUAGUUUUUUCCUGAAAUUCCACGUAAGAAUCUCCACUGAAUUUGGGACAAAACGCGAAAAAUUUCUGGUCAAACGGAUGAGUAUUCACCCACGAAAAAAUCAAACAGUUUCACACACAAACGAACCUUCCUUUCAGCCAUGACAGUGAUGAAUAAAAAGUUUAUUGCCAAUCUUGUGGGACGAAUGUGGAGCUCAAGUCUCAGCCAAACCUCAAUAGACACAGUGACACGUCUGGUAAAAAUUUCAGACCAAAAUACCCAAGGAGUAAGGCGUAGUAAGUCCCAGACCGAGAGUGAACAAAACUAGUUUUCCGAAACAAAACGUCCUGGCUUUUCUUCCCCGUAUCUUCCUUCUGUGAUUUGUUUAUUCAGCGCAAUACAAACCCAGAAUAAAAUUGCAGAAAGUUGGGCGAAAUUUCACAAGUUUUGGUAGAGGAUAGCCUUUGUUUUGCACAAAAUUUCUGAAAAAUACUCCCGAAUUAGAUUUUUCCUGAAAUUCCACGUAAAAAUCUCAAUUGAAAUUCGGAAAAAACGCGACAAAUUUCGGGUCAAAUGGAUGAGUAUUCACCCACGAAAACAUCAAACAAUUUCACACACAAACGAACCUUCCUUUUAGCCCUAGCAGUGAUAAAUAAAAGUUUAUUGUCAAUCUUGUGGGACGAAUGUGGAGCUCAAGACACAACUAAAACUCAAUAGACACAGUGACGAACGUCUGGUAAAAGUUUCAGACCAAAAUACUCAAGGAGUAAGGCGUAGUAAGUCCCAGACAGAGAGUGAACAAAAUUGGUUUUCCGAAAACAAAACGUCUUGGUUGCAAACAACAUAUGAAAGUACUUGUGUGAAUUUUUUCAACACAAUACGGACUCAAAAUAUAAUUGCAGAAAGUUGGGCGAAAUUGAAGAAGUUUUGGUAGGGGAUAACGUUUGGUUUGCAAAAAAAUUUCUGAAAAAUUCUCCAAAAAUAGUUUUUUCUUGAAAUUAACCGUAAGAAUCUCCACUGAAUUUGGGACAAAACGCGACAAAUUUCGGGUCAAACGGAUGAGUAUUCACUAACGAAAAAAAUCAAACAGUUUCACACAUAAACGAACCUUCCUUUCACACAUUGCAGUGAUGAAUAAAAAAUUUAUUGCCAAUCUUGGGGGACGAAUCUGGAGCUCAAGUCUCAGCCAAAACUCAAUAGACACAGAGAUCAACGUCUGGUAAAAAUUUCAGACCAAAAUACCCAAGGAGUAAGGCGUAGUAAGUCCCAGACCGAGAGUGAACAAAACUGGUGUUCCGAAAACAAAACGUCCUGGCUUUUCUUCCCCGUAUCUUCCUUUUGUGAUUUGUUUGUGGACGUGCCUCCUUACCUGGGUGCAAACAACAUAUGAAAGUACUUGUGUGACUUUUUUCAGCGCAAUACGGACCCAGAAUAAAAUUGCACAAAGUUGGGCGAAAUUUCACAUGCUUUGGUAGAUGAUAGCCUUUGGUUUGCACAAAAUUUCUGAAAAAUUCUCCUGAAAUAGUUUUUUCCUGAAAUUCCACGUAAGAAUCUCCAUUGAAUUUGGGACAAAACGAGACAAAUUUCGGGUGAAACGGAUGAGUAUUCACCCACGAAAAAAAUCAAACAGUUUCACACAAAAACGAACCUUCCUUUUAGCCCUGGCAGUGAUGAAUAAAAAAUUUAUUGCUAAUCUUGCGGGACGAAUCUGGAGCUCAAGUCUCAGCCAAAACUCAAUAGACACAGUGACGAACGUCUGGUAAAAAUUUCAGUCCAAAAUCCCCAAGGAGUAAGGCGUAGUAAGUCCCAGACCGAGAGUGAACAAAACUGGUUUUCCGAAAACAAAACGUCUGGCUUUUGUUCCCCGUAUCUUCCUUUUGUGAUUUGUUUAUGGACGUGCCUCCUUACCUGGGUGCAAACAACAUAUGAAAGUACUUGUUGAGUUUUUUCAGCGCAAUACGGACCCAGAAUAAAAUUGCACAAAGUUGGGCGAAAUUUCACAAGUUCUAGUAGAGGAUAGCCUUUGGUUUGCACAAAAUUUAUGAAAAAUUCUCCCGACAUAGUUUUUUCCUGAAAUUCCACGUAAGAAUCUCCACUGAAUUUGGGACAAAACGCGACAAAUUUCGGGUCAAACGGAUGACUAUUCACCCACGAAAAAAAUUAAACAGUUUCACACAUAAUUGAACCUUCCAUUCAGCUCUGGCUGUGAUGAAUAAAAAAUUUAUUGCCAAUCUUGCAGGACGAAUCUGGAGCUGAAGUCUCAGCCAAAACUCAAUAGACACAGUGACGAACGUCUGCUAAAAAUUUCAGACCAAAAUACCAAGGAGUAAGGCGUAGUAAGUCCCAGACCGAGAGAGAACAAAACUGGUUUUUCGAAAAGAAAACGUCCUGGCUUUUCUUCCCCUCAUCUUCCUUUUGUGAUUUGUUUAUGGACGUGCCUCCUUACCUGGAAGCAAACAACAUAUGAAAGUACUUGGGUGAGUUUUUUCAGCGCAACACGGACCCAGAAUAAAAUUCCACAAAGUUGGGCGAAAUUUCACAAGUUUUGGUAGAGGAUAGCCUUUCGUUUGCACAAAAUUUAUGAAAAAUUCUCCUGAAAUAGUUUUUUCCUGAAAUUCCACGUAAGAAUCUCCACUGAAUUUGCGACAAAACGUGACAAAUUUCGGGUCAAACGGAUGAGUAUUCACCAACGAAAAAAAUCAAACAGUUUCACACAAAAACGAACCUUCCUUUCAGCCCUGGCAGUAAUGAAUAAAAAAAUUAUUGCCAAUCUUGCGGGACGAAUUUGGAGCUCAAGUCUCAGCCAAAACUCAAUAGACACAGUGCCGAACGUCUGGUAAAAAUUUCAGACGAAAAUACCCAAGGAGUAAGGCGUAGUAAGUCCCAGACUGAGAGUGAACAAAACCGAUUUUCCGAAAACAAAACGUCCUGGCUUUUUUUUCCCGUAUCUUCCUUUUGUGAUUUGUUUAUGGACGUGCCUCCUAACCUGGGUGCAAACAACAUCUGAAAGUACUUGUGUGAGUUUUUUCAGCGCAAUACGGACCCAGAAUAAAAUUACACAAAGUUGGGCGAAUUUUCACAAGUUUUGGUAGAGGAUAGCCUUUGGAUUGCAGAAAAUUUCUGAAAAAUACUUCCGAAAUAGUUUUUUCCUAAAAUUCCACGUAAGAAUCUCCACUGAAUUUGGGACAAAACGUGACACAUUUCGGGUCAAACGGAUGAGUAUUCACCCACGAAAACAAUCAAACAGUUUCACCCACGAAAAACAUCGAACAGUUUCACACACAAACAAACCUUACUUUUUGCUCUGGCAUUGAUGAAUAAAAAAUUUAUUGCCAAUCUUGUGGGACAAAUCUGGAGCUCAAGUCUCAGCCAAAACUCAAUAGACGCAGUGACGAACGUCUGCUAAAAAUUUCUUUCCAAAAUACCAAAGAAGUAAGGCGUACUAAGUCCCAGACCGAGAGUGAACAAAACUGGUUUUCCGAAAACAAAACGUCUUGGCUUUUCUUCCACGCAUCAUACUUUUGUGAAUUGUUUAUGGACGUGCCUCCUUACCUGGGUGAAAACAACAUAUGAAAGUACUUGUGUGAGUUUUUUCAGCGCAAUACGGACCCAGAAUAAAAUUGCACAAAGUUGGGCGAAAUUUCACAAGUUUUGGUAGAGGAUAGCCUUUGGUUUGCCCAAAAUUUAUGAAAAAUUCUCCCGAAAUAGUUUUUUCCUGAAAUUCCACGUAAGAAUCUCCACUGAAUUUGGGACAAAACGCGACAAAUUUCGGGUCAAAUGGAUGAGUAUUCACCCACGAAAAAAAUCAAACAGUUUCACACACAAACGAACCUUCAUUUCACCCCUGGCAGUGAUGAAUAAAAAAUUUAUUACCAAUCUUGCGGGACAAAUCUGGAGCUCAAGUCUCAGCCAAAACUCAAUAGACACAGUGACGAACGUCUGGUAAAAAUUUCAUACCAAAAUACCCAAGGAGUAAGGCGUAGUAAGUCGCAGACCGAGAUUGAACAAAACUGGUUUUCCGAAAACAAAACGUCCUGAUUUUUCUUCCCUGUAUCUUCCUUUUGUGAUUUGUUUAUGGUCGUGUCUCCUUACCUGGGUGCAAACAACAUAUGAAAGUACUUCUGUGAGUUUUUUCAGCCCAAUACAGACGCAGAAAAAAUUACACAAAGUUGGGCGUUAUUUCACAAGAUUUGGUAGAUGAUAGCCUUUCGUUUGCACAAAAUUUAUGAAAAAUUCUCCCGAAAUAGUUUUUUCCUGAAAUUCCACGUAAGAAUCUCCACUGAAUUUGGGACAAAAUGCGACAAAUUUCGCAUCAAACGGAUGAGUAUUCACCCGCGAAAAAAUCAAACAGUUUCCCACACAAACGAACCUUCCUUUCAGCCCUGGCAGUGAUGAAUAAAAAAUUUAUUACCAAUCUUGCGGGAUGAAUCUAGAGCUCAAGUCUCAGCCAAAACUCAAUAGACACAGUGACGAACGUCUGGUAAAAAUUUCAGACGAAAAUACCCAAGGAGUAAGGCGUAGUAAGUCCCAGACCGAGAGUGAACAAAACCGAUUUUCCGAAAACAAAACGUCCUGGCUUUUCUUCCCCGUAUCUUCCUUUUCUGAUUUGUCUAUGGACGUGCCUCUUUACCUGGGUGCAAACAUCAUAUGAAAGUACUUGUGUGAGUUUUUUCAGAGCAAUACGGACCCAUAAUCAAAUUGCACAAAGUUGGGCGAAAUUUCACAAGUUUUGGUAGAGGAUAGCCUUUGCUUUGCCCAAAAUUUAUGAAAAAUUCUCCCGAAAUAGUUUUUUCUUGAAAUUCCACGUAAGAAUCUCCACUGAAUUUGGGACAAAACGCGACAAAUUUCGGGUGAAACGGAUGAGUAUUCACCCACGAAAAAAUCAAACAGUUUCACACACAAACGAACCUUCAUUUCAGCCCUGGCAGUGAUGAAUAAAAAAUUUAUUGCAAAUCUUGCGGUACGAAUCUGGAGCUCAAGUCUCAGCCAAAACUGAAUAGACACAGUGACGAACGUCUGGUAAAAAUUUCAUACCAAAAUACCCAAGGAUGAAGGCGUAGUAAGUCCUAGACCGAGAGUGAACAAAACUGGUUUUCCGUAAACAAAACGUCCUGGCUUUUCUUCCACGCAUCUUCCUUUUCUGAUUUGUUUAUGGACGUGCCUCCUUACCUGGGUGCAAACAACAUAUGAAGGUACUUGUGUGAGUUUUUUCAGCGCAAUAUGGACCCAGCAUAAAAUUGCACAAAGUUGGGCGAAAUUUCACAAGUUUUUGUAGAGGAUAGCCUUUGGUUUGCACAAAAUUUAUGAAAAAUUCUGCCGAAAUAGUGUUUUCCUGAAAUUCCACGUAAGAAUCUCCACUGAAUUUGGGACAAAACGCAACAAAUUUCGGGUCAAACGGAUGAGUAUUCACCCACGAAAAAAAUCAAAUAGUUUCACACACAAACGAACCUUCAUUUCAGCCCUGGCAGUGAUGAAUAAAAAAUUUAUUGCCAAUAUUGUGGGACGAAUCUGGAGCUCAAGUCUCACCCAAAACUCAAUAGACACAGUGACGAACGUCUGGUAAAAAUUUCACACCAAAAUGCCCAAGGAGUAAGGCGUAGUAAAUCCCAGACCGAGAGUGAACAAAACUAGUUUUCCGAAAACAAAACGUCCUCGCUUUUCUUCCCCAUAUUUUUCUUUUGUGAUUUGUUUAUGGAAAUGCCUCCUUACCUGGGUGCAAACAACCUAUGAAAGUACUUGUGUGAGUUUUUUCAGCGCAAUACAUGAUGAGAAUUAAAUAAAGGAGGCCUAUAGUAAUGAAGGACAAGGUCACUCGCCCUCACACUUAAAAAUCUUGUUAUUAAUCUUUGCAAAAGUUGAAGCCCAAGCCCAAGAAGCCCAAGCAAAUCCCAAGCCCAAAGCUCAAGCCCAUAUCUCAAGCCCAAAAAAGGCCAUGCCAAGCCCAAGUUCAAACCAUGAAGGGAAGGCCAAACAAUAAAUAAAAGAGCAUCAUGUGAAUUGCUUUUGGAUAGUUAUAGGAGGUAUGAAUAUUAAAUAAAGAGUGUGAGCUUAGUAAGGGGGGUGUAGAAAUAAUAAGGAGGUGCCAAAGUGAGAGAGGAAGUCACACCUUCCUCAUGUCUAUAGUUGGCGCCACUUUCAUGUAAUUUGGGGGGGAAUUUUGAAUUUGAUUAGCUUUGCAUUUCAGCACCUCUAGGCUAUAAAUUAAGGUGUUGCCCUUGUAUUUUUCAGAUUUGAAUUUUGAUUAGAGAAACUAUACUCAAUUUUUGAGAAAGCAUUGGAGAGCUUUGUGCCUUCCUCACUAGUCUUAUCUUGAGAGUUCAAUGGUUACCUCAAGUGGCGGCUUGCACACUCAUCUUGGAGUCACCAUCCUCUAAGUGGCGUGAUCAUCCAACCAUUCCUCCAUCUUCAUGAGCUUUCUCUUCUCCUUCCUUCCUUCUCUUUUAAUUGUUCAUGUCUUGGCUUGCUUCCUUUGAUUUUCUAUUCGGCAUUUUCAAUUCUUACGAGUUUUGCUUCAGUUCAUUUGCUUCCUUGCUGUUCUUCAUUGUUUCUUCUUCAUUUCUAGUCUUUAUGUUCGGUUCAAUUCAGUUCUAAUCCAUUUUGUUCGGUGCAUUUGCUUUUCCUUCCAUUUUAAUCGGUUCAAUUUGACAAUAAUUGGAACUUCCAUAUGAGUUUGGGUUUUGGUACUAGUUUUGGUGAGUUCUUGUUCAUAGAACCUUGAUCCAAUUCUAUGAUAAAGUGCCUAUCUCAUAUCCAACUCAAGUUGAUUCCUAAGAAUGUCAAGAAUCAUUCAUAUUGUGCUAUUGGAAUCUCAUCAAUACGGACCCAGAAUAAAAUUUCACAAAGUUGGGCAAAAUUUCACAAGUUUUGGUAGAGGAUAGCCUUUGGUUUUCACAAAAUUUCUGAAAAUUCUCCCGAAAUAGCUUUUUCCAGAAAUUCCACGUAAGAAUGUCCACCGAACUUGGGACAAAACGCGACAAAUUUCGAGUCAAACGGAUGAAUAUUCACCCACGAAAAAAAUCAAACAGUUUCACACACAAACGAACCUUCCUUUUAGCCCUGGCAGUGAUGAAUAAAAAAUUUAUUGCCAAUCUUGUGAGACGAAUCUGGAGCUCAAGUCUUAGCCAAAACUCAAUAGACACAGAGACAAACGUCUGGUAAAAAUUUCAGACCAAAAUACCCAAGGAGUAAGGCGUAGUAAGUCCCAGACCGAGAGUGAACAAAACUGGUGUUCCGAAAACAAAACGUCCUGGCUUUUCUUCCCCGUAUCUUCCUUUUGUGAUUUGUUUAUGGACGUGCCUCCUUACCUGGGUGCAAACAACAUAUGAAAGUACUUGUGUGAAUUUUUUCAGCGCAAUACAGACCCAAAAUAAAAUUUCAUAAAGUUGGGCGAAAUUUCACAAGUUUUGGUAGAGGAUAGCAAUUGGUUUGCACAAAAUUUCUGUGAAAAUUCUCCCGAAAUAGUUUUUUCCUGAAAUUCCACGUAAGAAUCUCCACUGAAUUUGGGACAAAUCGCGACAAAUUUCGGGUCAAACGGAUGAGUAUUCACCCACGAAAAAAAUCAAACAGUUUCACACACAAACGAACCUUCCUUUCAGCCCUGGCAGUGAUGAAUAAAAAAUUUAUUGCCAAUCUUGUGGGACAAAUCUGGAGCUCAAGCCCUAGCCAAAACUCAAUAGACACAGUGACGAACGUCUGGUAAAAAUUUUAGACCGAAAUACCGAACGAGUAACUCAUAGUAAGUCCCAGACCGAGAGUGAACAAAACUGGUUUUCCGAAAACAAAACGUCCUGACUUUUCUUCCCCGUGUCUUCGUUUUGUGAUUUUUUUAUGGACGUGCCUCCUUACCUAGGUGCAAAGAACAUAUGAAAGUACUUGUGUGAAUUUUUUCAGCGCAAUACGGACCCAAAAUAAAAUUUCACAAAGUUGGGCGAAAUUUCACAAGUUUUGGUAGAGGAUAUCCUUUGGGGUGCACAAAAUUUCUGAAAAAUUCUCCUGAAAUAGUUUUUUCCUGAAAUUUUACAUAAGAAUCUCCACUGAAUUUGGGACAAAACGCGACAAAUUUCGGGUCAAACGGAUGACUAUUCACCAACGAAAAAAAUCAAACAGUUUCACACACAAACGAACCUCUCUUUCAGCCCUGGCAGUGAUGAAUAAAAAAUUUAUUGCCAAUCUUGUGGGACGAAUCUGGAGCUCGAGUCUCAGCCUAAACUCAAUAGACAUAGUGACGAUUGUCUGGUAAAAAUUUCAAACCAAAAUUCCCAUGGAGUAAUGCGUAGUAAGUCCCAGACUGAGAGUGAACAAAAUUGGUUUUCCGAAAACAAAACGUCCAUGCUUUUCUUCCCCGUAUCUUCCUUUUGUGAUUUGUUUAUGGAUGUGCCGCCUUACCUGGGUGCAAACAAUAUAUGAAAGUACUUGUAAGAAUUUUUUCAGCACAAUACGGACCCAGAAUAAAAUUGCAGAAAGUUGAGCGAAAUUUCACAAGUUUUGGUAGAGGAUAGCAUUUGGUUUGCACAAAAUUUCUGAAAAAAUCUCCCGAAAUAGUUUUUUCUUGAAAUUCCUCAUAAGAAUCUCCACUUAAUUUGGGACAAAACGCGAAAAAUUUUGAGUCAAACGAAUGAGUUUUCACACACGAAUGAACCUUCCUUUCAGGCCUGACAGUGAUGAAUAAAAAAUUUAUUGCCAAGCUUGUGGGACGAAUCCGGAGCUCAAGUCUCUUCCAAAAUACAAUAGACACAGUGACGAACGUCUGUUAAAAAUUUCAGACCAAAAUAUCCAAGGAGUAAGGCGUCGUCAGUCCCAGACCGAGAGUGAACAAAACUGGUUUUCCGAAAACAAAACGUCCUGACUUUUCUUUCUUGUAUCUUCCUUUCGUAAUUGGUUUAUGGACGUGCCUCCUUACCUGUGUGCAAACAACAUAUGAAAGUACUUGUGUGAAUUUUUUCAGCGCAAUACGGACCCAGAAUAAAAUUGCAGAAAAUGGGGCAACAUUGCACAAGUUUUGGUAGAGGAUAGCCUUUGAUUUGCACAAAAUUUCUAAAGAAUUCUCCCGAAAUAGUUUUUUCCUGAAAUUCCACGUAAGAAUCUGCACUAAAUUUGGGACAAAACGCGAAAAAUUUCUGGUCAAACAGAUGAGUAUUCACCUACGAAAAAAAUCAAACAGAUUAAUACACAAACGAACCUUCAUAAUUUUUAAUUGUGUUUAAAAAAUUUAUUGCCAAUCUUGUGGGACGAAUCCUACGAAGGUUCGUUUCUUUGUGAAACUGUUUUAUUUUUUUUUCUAACUAAAUUCUCAUCUGUUUAAGCUGAAAUUUAUUGCAUUUGGUCCCAAAUUUUGUUGGGAUUCUUACACAGAAUUUCAAUGAGAAACUAUUUCGGGAAAAAAAUUCUGAAAUUUCUUGCACUCCAAAACUAUCCUCUUUCCAGAUUUGUGAAAUUUUUCCCUAAUUUAUGCAAUUUUGUUUUGAGUUCAUAUUACGUUGACCUUGUUAAGAAUAUUUCCCAGCAUUCCUCCUCGAGGUAAAGAAUAGAUGUCAAAUGUCAAUCACACCCAAGUAAUGAAUAGAUGUCAGAUGUCACAAUUUGUCUAUCCUCAUAAAAGGAUUUAUUAAAUUAUCCAUUGUUCGCGUUCCCGAAGGUCCCUCUCUUUUAAGAGAAUUCACGGCAUGUUAAAUCCUUGUAAAAAUAUUGUAGAUUUUAGGUAUUAUAUAAUACAAAAAAUUUAAAAAGAAAGAUUUCUGACUAAAAUUUUCCUAAAAGAGGUUAGGGUAGAUGUAAAAGCAAAAUGUAAUAUCUAUUCGUUGAUAAAAGUAGGAUUUAUUUUCUUUGUAAGUGAUUUUUUUUUUCAAAAGCAUGCAUAAAAUGAAACUUUUGAACUACACUAGAAACAAAUUGAGAAACAUUCAUUAGAAAAAAAGAAGAUUAAAAAAAGUGUACAAGUUCGUUAGAAAAUAUAAGAAAAGUAAGAAAAAGAUUAAAUACAUGUGUUUAUUUAUCCUAAUUAUUUUUUGUCUCUAAAAUUGGUUUAUAUUUCAUGAUUUUUUUUCUAGUGUAUGUAGUUAUGUGUUCGCAUGGAUUUCAAAAUUUCUCAUAUUUUAGGAAAGGAAAUAAUUGUGAACUGCUUUUGCUCUGCAUGAUGAGUGAGAGCAUUGAUGGACAACAAAUAUAAUUGAAACAGUAACAUACAAAUAAGAAAAGUGGGUUCUAUUUUAUUCCUUCAAAGACAAGUUUAGAAUCAAAUAGACCCACCAAGAGGUUCAACAAAAGAGUUUGGUUCAGAAAUCCACUUUCCAAUCUACAAUGUUCUAAGAAUUAAUGUUUAAAGUAUUUGCAUUUCAAAACUCCAUUCUAAGAAUUAAGGGUUGUAUAGGNNNNNNNNNNNNNNNNNNNNNNNNNNNNNNNNNNNNNNNNNNNNNNNNNNNNNNNNNNNNNNNNNNNNNNNNNNNNNNNNNNNNNNNNNNNNNNNNNNNNNNNNNNNNNNNNNNNNNNNNNNNNNNNNNNNNNNNNNNNNNNNNNNNNNNNNNNNNNNNNNNNNNNNNNNNNNNNNNNNNNNNNNNNNNNNNNNNNNNNNNNNNNNNNNNNNNNNNNNNNNNNNNNNNNNNNNNNNNNNNNNNNNNNNNNNNNNNNNNNNNNNNNNNNNNNNNNNNNNNNNNNNNNNNNNNNNNNNNNNNNNNNNNNNNNNNNNNNNNNNNNNNNNNNNNNNNNNNNNNNNNNNNNNNNNNNNNNNNNNNNNNNNNNNNNNNNNNNNNNNNNNNNNNNNNNNNNNNNNNNNNNNNNNNNNNNNNNNNNNNNNNNNNNNNNNNNNUUUAAUGCCUAAAAAUCUUGAUGAAAUAUACUUUUAAAUUCCAAUUACAAGUUCCUUAGAUACAGAAUGUCCUUUAUGUCCACUGCAGUUUCCAUUCAAAACUUCAUUUUUUGGAUCAUUUAGUUCCAGUGAUCUAUUAUUAAGUUUAAGUUCAUUUUUUGUCAGAAACUGUAGUAACAUGAAAUAAGAACACAGAAUACUCUGUUCGGAAUGGAUAGCUACACGAUUUUCGUAGUAUUCUAAAAUUAGGAAAAACAUUCGGUUGGAAUUUAAUUUCAACAGAAAAAUUGAAAUAAUUUUGCACGAAAAUAAGAGUAAAAUAAAAGUAAUUGAUUCAUGAAAAACGUAGUUGAGUUCAAGUAUAUCAUGUGCUGCUCUUGUUUGAAAAAUGGCAAUUAUAGGGUUACCGUUUGCAACUAACAAAAUGGUAAUCGAAAAGGUACAAAGAUAUUCUGGAGAAUUGGAACCUGUUGAAGUGGCAGACAAAUUGAAAUAGGUGCACGCCUAAUUUUGAACUUCUGACUCAUCUUAUGAAAGUUCCAGUUUUUGGAUGUGAGCAAUCUUUCCCCAGUCUUCGCCAUCUGGAUUUCGACACCGCUCCUUCAGCAAUGGACAAUCGAAGAUUGUAAGAGAAGAGAUGGAUUUGGGGAGACCCUCCGCUGGUAAGCAUUCAAGGCUGGGACAAUCCUCAAAUAUGAGAGAGGAGAGGUGGCAGAGACCUUUGUAGUGCAUCUUUUUAAGAUUUGGACACCAACGGAUUUCUAGAGAGGUGAGAGAGCGUGGCAGCAAAACUUCAUCGGGAAAACACUCCACCUCCAACUUGUAAAUACACAACCUUUGAAGAGAUGUGUUGGGGUCCAAGUUGUCUCUCAAGGAGGCGAUAAGUUUUAAACAUGAAAGAGACAUUUGUUUUAUAUUUAAUGGCAAACCUCCAUCUGGGAACAACUCCACUUCUGGACAAUUAAUUAUAUGCAGCCCAGUAAGGGACGGAAACAGGAUUUGCAUGCGUUUGGGAAACAGGAAUGAUUUUAAUUGAGGGCAAUCAUUAAUACGUAGAUGCAUGAGAUGAUUAUGAGCGUACUCCUGUGAAAUUCUUUCUAUGUGGUGGCACAAUGUCAGUUCAAGAGAAAGGAGCUUUGGAAAGAAAUGUAGUCGAAAGAUUGCAAGAGAGUCGGUGCCUCCAUCAGUAUGCGAUGUGUCCAUACUGUUUCCGCUAAUUCUGAGCUCAUCACUAACAACUACUUUCGUACCUUUCAGUUUCGGACAUUUAAACACAAAAAGGUCUUGAACACGUGGAAAAGAAGUAGUUUUACACUCCCAUUCUUCCCAUUCCUUCAUAUUAUAGAAGUCUAAGCUCUCCAAGGAUGCAAACGAAGAGUUGCUCCCAUAAAAUUCGGCACCAAUGCUCACUAUUCCAUCAAGACCUCUAAUCUCAAGGGUCUUCAGUGAUGACAAAAGUCCAAGGGGAGGCAAACAUAGGCAGUAUUUACAUUUAAACAACUUUAAGAACACCAGAUUUGAUAACGAAUUAUCGAAUUCCCAACUUGGGAAUUCUGUAGCAUUGUAGUUCCAGAUUGACAAUUUCUCCAAGUGAUUGGAAGGUUGUAGAUUCUGAAGUACUUCCUUUUCUUUCUUUGGAUCAUCAGGGAUGUGGUCCGACUUCCAAUAUAAUUGUAGCUCCACAAGGCGUUUAUCUUUCAAAUUUGCUUUUAAUGCAUCCAAAGGAUUCCCAAUAUUCUGCACGUCAAUGAUUGAUAGCCUUCCAUGAAGAUUGAGUCCUCCCAAUCCGCCCAGUUCCUUAGUACUUAGCUCACUAUUUUUAUCCACGAAAAACAUACUUAGUACUUGAAGAUUCUUCAAUUCUCCAAAAUGCAUUGGCAUCUUUCUCACUUUUGUACCUACAAAUUCCAGGCAACGCAAUUUGGUAAGCUUAUGCAAAUUUAAGGGAAACUCCUCCAACAUUGAACAAUUGUUCAACUUCAGUAUUAGUAAGUUAUAGAGCAAACAUAUCGAGUCAGGUAGCUUUUGUAUCUCUGUAGACGAAAGAUCUAACGAUUGGAGAUGUUUAAGAUCACCUACAGAAUCUGGGACCUCUCUAAGGUGUAAACAACCACGGAAAGAUAACACGCGUAUAAACUUAAUAUUGGAAAACAAAUCAUGUAUCGAAAUCUUGAAAUCCCAUGGAGAUCUCCCAUAUAGUGAGAUAGGAAGAAAUGAACGAAGUUUUUUAGCAUCAGUUAAACUCUCAAAACCAUCAAAACUUUUGACGUCACGGAAUUCAAAUGAAAAAUGACGGGUUGUUUUCUGUAUAUAUUGUUCAUUAUCAAAUUUCAACCUGAAACAGAAAUCCGCAUAUACAUAUUUUGCCAAAUCAUUCAGAAGGUCAUGCAUGACGAAACGCCCUACGACGCUUGAUUUGUUAAAAAAACACCUUGACAGUAGAUCAUUGAAGUACUCUUCCCCAAUUUGUUCUGGAUGUCUAAUAUGUUGUGUACUCAGUAGAAAAUUUUGGGCCAUCCACAAAAAAAUUAACUCCUCCUUCACAAACUCAUAAUCUUUGGGGAAUAAGGCACAAUAAGCAAAGCACCUUUUAAGAUGAGAAGGAAGAUGGUGAUAGCUCAAAAAUAACGCAGGAAUAAUUUCACUGUGUUCUUUUGGUAGCUCCCAUAUGUUACUUUCCAAUAUGUUCUUCCAAUCUGAAAUGGAUGACUUUGUGCUCAAAAGACGUCCAAUUGUUUUCAGAGCUAGAGGUAAUCCCUUGCACUUCUCAACUAUUCUUCUACCAACCUUCAUUAACUCAUCAUUCAAUUCAAGAUCACCAUCUUUUAAUGCAUUAUUUUCAAAAACUUUCCAGCAUUCACCCUCUCCUAAUUGCUUUAGAAGAUGCACUUUAGACCUCAUGCUAGAAGCAACUUUCUCACUGCGAGUUGUGACAAGAAUUUUACUUCCUGGAGCCCCAUAGCUAAGAGGAGUUCCCACAGCUUCCCAUUCAGCUGGUCUUUCGUUCCAAACAUCAUCCAAAACAAGAAGAAAUUUCUUUCCUGACAAUUUUUCUUUCAGUUUUUUGUGAACCAUUUCUAGGUUAACACUAUCAUCUUUUUGAUUUGUGAUUGCCUCUAGAAUUGUUCUUGUCACCGUCAAAACUUGAAAAUGAUCAGAAACACAGACCCAUGCUUUCAUAUCAAAUUUUGCAUCUUCGAUCUUUGGGUCACUGUACACAUGCUGGGCGAGUGUGGUCUUACCCAACCCACCCAUGCCCACAAUGGAAAGUAUUGAUGGCUGGUUAGGAUUGUCGAUUUCAGAUGUGAGCCAAUUAAUGAUUAUAUCUUUGUCAGCAUCUCUACCGUAAAUAACACUUUCAACCACCAAAGAAGAUGACUGCAAUUUCUGUGAGACUCUACUGCCUGAUCUAUCAUUAUCAUCCGAAUAAGUACCCUUUUCCAAACCAAGAGCAUCCUUUUGGUUUGCAAGAUAUUCUAGUCUCCGCAGGACUUCUUUCAUCCCUGAUUCAAUUUUCUUGUUAAAUGAACUGAAAGUAGAGUUGAAGAAAUUUGAUACCUUGUAAGUACAGGUUUGAGGUUGGGAUUGAGCUUCGACUUGGCAUCUGGUGAGCUUAUGGUCUAUUUCACCCAACAGAUCCUCUGCAUCAAAGACAGCCUCUUUGACAGCUAAAAGCCAUGCUUUGACGUGUGGAUCUGUGAGCUGCUUUAGUUCAGCAUCAUCAGCGAGAGCAUUUAUGGAAUGCAGCAUGAUGUUCAAAUUGGCGAGGAGCUUCUCAUCAAGUUUUCUUCUACGAAAGAAGUGUAGAAAUUGAGGAGAAGCGAGCCUGUCGAAUGCAACCUGAAGAAAGGCCGAAAGAAGAGCACCACCAACAAGUUCAGCUGCCAUGGUAGGAAGGAGUUGGAAAUGAAGUGAAAUGGAUUGAAUGCAGGAAUGAAUGGCAAAGUGAUGAGAAGAGUAGUUAGAAAGGAUGACUUGACUUUAAAAAGAACAUGUUUUUGUUUAAUGGGAACUCAACCAAUAUAAAAUGUGAGCUGUUGGAUAUUGAUUCAACGGUUGUGAUGAAUGAAAGUACGGCAGGAAGAGGAACGUACAAUGCAAUAAUUGUUGACAACUGUAAUCAAUGAAUGUAUGUCUGAUUAUUAGGUGAAAUAUUAAAUGAUAUCUGACUCGAAAUAAUAUCUUUUAUGUAACAAUUAUAUUAUAUUCAUGCAAAUUUAGUUGAUGUACUAAUUCCCAUCCUUUCCUUAUUCACUUAAUUUGGUUUAUCUGUCUUUCUUUGUCUCUUUAUUUAUCAUUUUUUUAAUUUGGUUCAAUAGUAAUUUUUAUCUCUUUAUUUAUACUUUUAUUAUUUAUGAAAGGUCUCAAAUUAGUUUUACUUUUAUUUAAAAUUAGUCAGAAAAGAUAUUUUAAUAUUGUUUCAUUGAAUAACUUUAGAGUGGGACUUAACAUUGAUUUGGUAUUAUUGUAGGUACGUAUUAAAUUUGGAUGAUAUUAUGAUAUAUGUGAUUUUAGAAGAAUACAGUGAAGUUCACUGCAAGAAAAAGUGUUUUUAGAAACUAAUUUUUUAGUUUCUAAAAUGCUAAAAUUAGUCACUAACUUCAUUAGAGACUAAUUUAGAAACUAAUAGUUUUAAGUGGCUAAAAUCAUGGUCGUUAAUUUUAAAUACCAAUUUAGAUUCUAAUUUAGAAACCAAUUUAGUUACCAUUAAAUAAAAACCAAUUUAGUGACCAAAUAUAUAGAAACUAAUUUAGUGAUCAAUUAUAUAGAAACCAAAUUAACAACUAAUUUCAUUGAAACCAAUUUAGUGACCAAAAUAUAUAGAAACUCAUUUAGUGACCAAUAUAUAGAUACCAAAAAAUGGUCACUAUAUUAGUCUCUAUAUAAUAUAAUUUAUUACAAAAAUAUUAUUUUAUUUACCUACUUACUCUUUCAUAUUUUAUAUUUAUUUGUAGAUUUAAGUUCACUAAUUUUAAAAUAAAUUUAUAGAGUUCGUCAACUCAAAGUAAUUAGUUCAGAAUCUAAAUAUGGUUAGAAGUGAACAAUUUUUUUAAAUUUUACAAUUUCUUUUUAUGAAUUAUGAAUGUGAACUAAUAUUGUCGUAAAAAUUGGAAGAUAAUCACAUAAAUCCAAGUUAAAUUAUUUGUAUAGGCAGUUCAAAUCUUUGUACAGAACUUUUUAAGGCUUCUUCACAAAUCUUUUCCUUGGGCACUCCAAUCUCCUUGGCCAAAUUCUCUACCCCAAUUUGAGAAUCUAUCACUUUAUCAAAGCGAAUGUAUCUACCAGAAGCAUUGUUGUUCAUUGCCUUGAACACACUUGCAUGAGCUUCAGCAAAUUUGGUCACAUACACUGUUGUUGGCAGACCAAGAGACUACAUUUCUUGACCACCUGCAUUAGCAAUUAUAAAGUAUUUAGAUUAUUAUGCAAACCACAAUGAACUUUUGAACAUGUUAUAUUAUUGUUAUUCUACUCAUGGUUUCUGAAACCAUUUUCAAUUUGAUAAAAUUCAGUUUUUUUUCUCCAGUUUAAAAAUAUAAGCACCAGGAGAAACUUAAAACACAGUUUUCUCUAGUAUAUUAAUAGCAAAUUGUGCAAGAAACAGGACCAAUUAUUUUGGUCAAUAGUAGCACCUUUGAGGUAAGCAAUUGUUGCUGUUGGAUUCCUAUGACAAAAUUGAGGACCUGUGUUAAGAGCUGGGGAAAUGGUAGUGAGCUUUAAACCCUUCUCAUUAGUUAUUCUCCAACAGCCUUCUCUACUCUCAUCUUACCCAGUGCACACCAAAGCUGCCAUACGUAUUCAAAAGAGAUAGCAAAGUCAUGAAUACUAGUUUAUUACCUACAUAAACAUUUUAGAUGGUAAAGAAAAAACUAAGAAAACAACAUUAAUAAGGUGCAAUCAUUGUGCAAAGUUUACAUUCUUUUCUAUGCAGAAUGAUUCACUGCUCCAAGAGCCAUAACUGGGGUGAGGUCUGAUUGUUCAUUUUCUUGCCAGACACAAGCUAAAUAUAAAAAUUAGAGAUAAUUUCAUUAACCAAAAUAUAUAAAAAAAAAAAAUCUUUUGCAAAGUAAAAACAACACCAAAUUGCAGAUUUUCUAGAAUAGAAAGACAUUAAUCUAUCAUACAUCCAACUUCGAUUUUGACGAAUAUCUAUAAUUUAUCGUAUAACACAAUGCUUCAUUCAACUAUAAAAGAAAGUUUUAUAAAAAAAAUCUUAUAAUCUAUCGUUGCUUAAUUUAUUUGAGAACAAUAAAAUAUAUCCUAGACUAUGAACAUAAAAAAAAUCACAAAGGAAAAUACAAUGACUAAAAUAAAAAAUGUCUAACCUUUUUUUUCACCGGAAGAACAAGGGAAACUUGUAGUCACACAGGUGCUAGCCUUGGACUAAAAGAACUCAACCUAUUUACUUACCUACCACACAUAUUAGCUACGUAGACAUUCAACAAAACAGUUUCGUAUAUAAGACUUCUAAAAACCAUUCUUUCCAUUGACAAUUUUUUAGCAUGCAGAUCUUGACAUUCUUCCUCAGAAAAGUCAUCAUUUGAAUUUCCCUAUAUCAUAUAUACCAUAUAUACCUUAUCAACUAGCUUCUCUCAACCAUAUAAGUAUUUGGUGUUCAAAACAUGUGAUAAAGAAAAGUGAGAUAAAAACUUUGAGAGAGGUAUAUUCUAGAAUCCCAAAAGAAAUACAUUGAAAUAAAAGGGGAAAAUAAUAAUUGGUGAUAAUAGGAGGAGAAUGAUAAUGAAAUGAAGAUAAGUCCAAUUAUAAAUUAUGGGCGCAACAAUCAAACAAUAUCUAAUAAGAAGGGCCUAUUUUCUGUGUUGGGUAGUGAUAUAGAUGCCACUUUACAAAAGCAGUGUUCUUAUUAACAUAAAAAACCUUAGACAUUGCAUGUGUUGUUCUCAGAGUUAAACUUAAAUGAGCUCUUGAUAUGUUUGUUGCCCUGUUCUUUAAAGAACCUUUCAAUAAUUCAUGAUCCCAUUUUCAUUCAUACACACAUACAAACAAACAAACAUAGACUUCAUUCGGCCUAACCAAGAAAUUUGAAAUAAUAACGGUUUUCCCAUUGAAGAUGGAAUUAAGAAGCUAUGGCCAUGCAAUGGAGGAACAAGAGGGACAUGAGGAGAUGUAGAGAAAACAAGUAUUGAAUAGCACACACCAAUUAAAAUGAUAAGUAUAGUGCAUGAAAUUACUUUUGUGUUAUAAGGGCUUCAAGGGGUGUAUCACAUAAAACAAGUGGGACAUCUUAAUUAAAUUCUUCAAAAAAGAGUAUGGUUGUGAAAGUAGUUUCAGCACUACAUAUUGAAGUUAGGACAUAGCAUCACCAUACACUUCCCAUUAUUCCUUUGGUUCUCAAAUUAAAGUUAUCCUGUCAUGAAUCAAGUUGGCCAAACUUUUAGCAUUUGACUUUUAGUCUUUAGGAGUAUCUAUGAGCACAGACGUACCAAAUACAAAUACCAACCAACUCAGUAGAGAGUUUACAUAUGUGUACAACUUGACUUAAAUGUAAUGAAUGGUCAAGUACAUAACACUCCCAACUAAUGGGAAAAGAAAGAUAGAUUUAAAGUAUCAAUAUGUGAGGUUGUUUUCGGGUUUUAAAGUAUCAAUAUGUGAUGUCUGGUAACAAGACAGAUACCUCAUUGUUGCACCACUAACCAAUCCUUAAUCCUUAUCCUAAAUUAUAUACUGAUGAAUUUUUUAAUUUAUAAUAAAUUUAGUUCUUCUUUCAGGUUUGUGAUACAGAUCUAUGAUACUUAUAUUUGCUUCACCCAUCUCAUACCGUUUUUAAUCUAUAUGUAACUGUAAAGUGUUUAAAUCUUUAAAGCAUUUUAUGAAAAUCCAAUACAAUUACAUGAAACAUAUAGGUAUGUGUAAUAUAGGAAGGUUGUCCCUUGAAAAUUCAAAAUAUGAGAAUUGUUCUCUUUAUGAAUGAUUUCAAUAUAAAAAUGAGAUUGAUAGUAUUAUUCUUGUAUGUAAAUAGUAAAAAUUAAUUUAAAUAUGUAGGUUGUAUUAACUGAACAUAUGAACUUAUUUAAGCUCUCCAGGAUAUCUGCAUUUGCAAGAUCAAGCAAUGAGGGCAUUUUGCUUAAAUUUUGGAAUACUCUGGCCUAUGAACAUAUUAGUUCUUUGUUUCUACUGUUUCAUUACGAUUUAAUGGUGCUUAGAUUGUUAUACUACUCAAUAGCAAAAUCCAACAUAAAAAAACAAAGAACAAUUUUCAGACUAAUUAACAUCCAGGGGUUCCACACAACAUAUACAGGAGUACAUCUCACUGCCAGUGUCCUAAACAGUGUCUGCAUAAUAAAUUCAAUGCUGCAUAUGUAGGGGUUUCACAGCUUGGUUGAUUAUCUAUAAUUCAAUUUCUCUAUAAUUUAACAUAAUCCACCUAGUCCUUUUCCAUUACACAGAAACAAAUACACGAGUGUGGAAAAGGUAGCUUAAGUAUGUGUUCAUGAAAACAACUUUAAGUUAUUAUCAAUUAGAGUUUGUUCUCUAAAUUUGAUCAUUAAACUUAAAGGAAUAAGCUAAAAGGAGUUUUUUGGAAAAAGGUUAUCUAAGAAGCUUAUUGAAAUAAUAGAGAUUAUACGAGUCAUAAGCUCNNNNNNNNNNNNNNNNNNNNNNNNNNNNNNNNNNNNNNNNNNNNNNNNNNNNNNNNNNNNNNNNNNNNNNNNNNNNNNNNNNNNNNNNNNNNNNNNNNNNNNNNNNNNNNNNNNNNNNNNNNNNNNNNNNNNNNNNNNNNNNNNNNNNNNNNNNNNNNNNNNNNNNNNNNNNNNNNNNNNNNNNNNNNNNNNNNNNNNNNNNNNNNNNNNNNNNNNNNNNNNNNNNNNNNNNNNNNNNNNNNNNNNNNNNNNNNNNNNNNNNNNNNNNNNNNNNNNNNNNNNNNNNNNNNNNNNNNNNNNNNNNNNNNNNNNNNNNNNNNNNNNNNNNNNNNNNNNNNNNNNNNNNNNNNNNNNNNNNNNNNNNNNNNNNNNNNNNNNNNNNNNNNNNNNNNNNNNNNNNNNNNNNNNNNNNNNNNNNNNNNNNNNNNNNNNNNNNNNNNNNNNNNNNNNNNNNNNNNNNNNNNNNNNNNNNNNNNNNNNNNNNNNNNNNNNNNNNNNNNNNNNNNNNNNNNNNNNNNNNNNNNNNNNNNNNNNNNNNNNNNNNNNNNNNNNNNNNNNNNNNNNNNNNNNNNNNNNNNNNNNNNNNNNNNNNNNNNNNNNNNNNNNNNNNNNNNNNNNNNNNNNNNNNNNNNNNNNNNNNNNNNNNNNNNNNNNNNNNNNNNNNNNNNNNNNNNNNNNNNNNNNNNNNNNNNNNNNNNNNNNNNNNNNNNNNNNNNNNNNNNNNNNNNNNNNNNNNNNUUGAACUUCUUAGGAGUAUUUCCAUGAGUUCUCUUAAUAGGGAGGAACAAGAUGUCCUUGAAUGGGGUGGGGAUUCUUCUGGUGAGUUUACGGUUAAGUCUGCGUACAAAUGCUUGGAAAACCAUGCGCCAAUUUGGCCUGAGGGCUUCUUCAAACAGUUGUGGCAGGUCAAAGCACUCCCUAAUGCUCUGACCACUGCAUGGAAGGUCUUGUUGGACAAAAUGCCAACUCGUAGUAGUUUGAGUAGAAGAGGAGUGUUAGUUGAAACCACGGGAUGCGCGUUAUGCCAAGGUUCGGUAGAAACCUCUUACCACCUUUUCUUGGAAUGCAUAGUAGCACAACAGGUGUGGUUUUUGUGUCUAAGGUGGAUGGGGAUUUUGUUUGUCCAACAUAAGGACUUGAAGGUCCACUUUGAAAACUUUCACCUAGUACACUUGAACACAAAGCAAAACCUUGUGUGGAAAGGUUUGUGGGUGACAGCUGUGAGAGGAAUAUGGGAACAAAGAAACCUAGUCAUUUUCAAGCAGGGAAAGCCUGAUGCGGAAGAGAUCUUUCACCGGGCACAACUCAACUCUUGGUUUUGGUUGAAAAACAGAGUACACAAUUUUAACUUCUCUUUCUCAGAUUGGAUCUUAAACCCUGAGCUUUGUGUUAAGAGUUAUAGAUGAAGCACUCUGGUGUCAAGAGGCAAUCCCUGGAUCUGUGGUCGAUGCUUGACCACAGGCAUGGAGUAUGGAGUUUGUUCGUUGUCAAGGUGGUGUUGUUGAGGAAGUUUGAGGCUUGUUUUAUCAAAGCCUGGUUCUGCCAUUGCAAGGAGGGGUGAAGGUUUAGGUUGACAGGCAGGAACCCCUCUAUUUGGGUGAGCUGGUGGUUACUAUACCGGUCCAGGUCAUCAUGGCUUGUGUCUUUGCAAUAGCUCUUGUAUGAACUUUGGAGGUAUCGGCAUUGUUGAUAUGCUGGUUCUGCUAUAUAAACAAUGCACUUGGUGUUAUUUUUUGGGUUUGAGGCAUAUGUUGCGGUCUAUGGUCAAGCUACUGAUAUACUUGGUAGAUGCAUGGUGGUAUGUAGUGGUUCAGGAAGCAAAUGCAGCAAAGUCCGGUAAUCUUUUAUGUUGUGCUGGUCACACCUAGCUGUUAGCAUGUUUUCCCUAGCAGCUUUCCCUCAUCACCAGGCUUUUGUUUUGUUUUGUGCUGGUGUUAUGCAGACUCAGGUUUUGGGACUGAGUAUCUGUAACUAGUUUUAAGUUUUUGAGUUAAGUGGUGUGUCGCUUAACUUUGAUCUAAUUGUUGAAUGCUUAUUUAGGAGUUCUUAUGUAUAAGGGUUGGAACACCCCUAAAUUGUUUCUCUUAAAUUCUAUUAAUUCAUUGCUGAUAAAAAAAAAAAAUAAAAAAAAAAAUUUAACAAGGAGUGCAUUGGAUUGGAGAUAGGAUAAGCAUAUUAUGGACCUCGUUGCUGUUGAGAAUCUUUAAAAUUGUAUUCCAGAGAAAGGUUUUAUCAAAGAAAAGAAAGAAAAGAAGAAAAUAAAAGAGAAACAGUUAUGAAAAAAUGGAGUACAACAGCCACUUCUAAGGGUUAUAUUCUGUACUGAUUACUUUACCAAUAACUUCUGCACUUCACAAUUUUCAGUGUCCUAAACAGUGUCUGCAUAAUAAAUUCAAUGCUGCAUAUGUAGGGGUUUCACAGCUUGGUUGAUUAUCUAUAAUUCAAUUUCUCCAUAAUUUAACAUAAUCCACCUAGUCCUUUUCCAUUACACAUAAACAAAUACACGAGUGUGGAAAAGGUAGCUUAAGUAUGUGUUCAUGAAAACAACUUUAAGUUAUUAUCAAUUAGAGUUUGUUCUCUAAAUUUGAUCAUUAAACUUAAAAGAAUAAGCUAAACGGAGUUUUUUUUGGAAAAAGGUUAUCUAAGAAGCUUAUUGAAAUAAUAGAGAUUAUACGAGUCAUAAGCUCAAAUAAACUUCCAAUAAGCUCUUCAAAAUACUUCCUUAGAUAGAAAUAGAAUUAAAAUCCUCAAUUUCUUCAUUUGUUAUGAAUUCAGAGAAUGUUAAUCUUUUUAAAGGCAGGUAAAAGCAUAGACCACAUAGGUAUAAUCAAGUGAAUAUUUAGACGUGAAUUCCUCCUACACCACUCAUGCCAACAUAAUAAUAACUUCCAUGUUUUUCCAAUGGCAGGAUAUCUCAAGAAUGAAGAGUGAUCACUAUUUGUUUAAUGUCUUAUCUAAAAGUAAACCAAAAGCAUAGCUGUAAAAGGAAAAGGAAAAUAAAACUAGUUUAUAUUCAAUACAAGUUCCUUAGAAACAGAAUUCAGAAGAAGCCAUUCUUAAUGUACCCAAUGUUCUCAGUGAUUUCCUUUCAUCUUGUCUCCAGUCAAUACCCCUAGCUUCAUUUUAUCAUGGACAGCCUUUUCAAUAUAUCAUGAACCUGUAUUUUCAUUCAAAAAUAAUCAAGAACAUGAAAACUGAACUGGUGUGAAUAACUGCAUUCUAUUAAGUUUGUUUUCUUUGUCAGAAACUUUAUUAAUUUAACGCACCAAGCAUGGAUCAAGAAGAAAGAUGGAUAAGUGUGGACAAGAAAAUCAAUUUUCUGGAAUACCAAGCUACAGGAUGGUGAUGGAUGGAACUAUACCUUCCAACUACAGAGUAAUCUUUAGAGAAUAAACGCCACAUGCUAGAACUUCAUGCACUUCACAAUUUUUAGUGUCCACAUCCACUUUCUGAAUAUUCAAGUCACAACCAUCAAUCACUAUUUCUUGAAGGAAGUCGUAAUGGAUCAUGGAUAUUUUCACAACUGAGUAAGUCCAAAAGCUGAAGGCAUGUCACCAGAACCAAACUCACUUUAUAUCUAUAAAAGAAAAGGCUGAAUUUCAAUGUUGAAAUAUUUGUUAAUUAUAUGAGAAAGACUACCAUCAUAUUGCCAAAAGUAUCGUAUAAAAGAUGCUUUAAAAUAGUAAUUAAAAUUAAGAUAUUUCUAAUCCCAGGUAUUUAUAUUAUUUAGUUGAACGCAUGCAUUAAAUGAACUAACUAGCAGUGUAUGAAUCAAAUAAUUUAUAAAAUAUCAAGUUGUGUUUUAUCUUACUGAGGGCUAAAUAUGAUUUGUAGAGAAGUAAGUGUGGCAAGCAGAACUUCAUCGGGAAAAGACUCCAUGUCAACCUUUCCAAUACACAAGCUUGGAAAACAUGUGUUUACAUCCAAGGUCUCUCUCAGGGAGGCCAUAAGUUUGAAACUUGAAAGAGACACGUGUUGAAAAUUCCACAUCAAAUAUUCAAGCGACGAGGUGUCCAUGCUGUUUCCGCUAGUCACGACCUUAUCACACAUAAACAUAACUAGUUUCUUUAAAUGAAGAAGAUGUUCUGACAGACCUUUCAGCCUUCUACAACGAUACACAUAAAGACACUGAAGACGUGGAAAAGAAGUAGUUUUCCAUUUUCCAUUCUUAUAAUAUUUUACAUAUUCUAUUCGGUAGAUUCCUUUAGUGCUUUUUUUAAUGCUUUCAAGUGACUUGAGAGGCAUAACCAAGUGUUGUUUCAUAAAUCUAUAAUAGUGAGAAAACAUGAAAUGCUCACAACUACAAAUGUCAUUUACCUUUGCUAGAGACUCUUUCUCCCCUUGUUUUACAAGGGAUAGUGAAUCAUUACAAGCAUACUUGUAAAACUGAUGAGAUACAUAUUUUAUGUUUGAUUACAGAUAUAUAAAACAUUAGCAGAUUGAUUUUUAUUCAACGGUUUUGAUGAGUUGGAGGACUGAAUAAUUCCAGACUUUAAACUUUUAGUGCACAACAAGAGUUUUUCUGUUGCAGGAGGAUCUCCAGAUUGUAGAGGAGAGGUAAUAAAGUAGUAAAAUAUAAUUGAAACAGUAACAUACAAAUAAGAAAAGUGGGUUCUAUUUUAUUCCUCCAAAGACAAGUUUAGAAUCAAAUAGACCCACCAAGAGGUUCAACAAAACAGUUUGGUUCAGAAAUCCACUUUCCAAUCUACAAUGUUCUAAGAAUUAAUGUUUAAAGUACUUCAAAACUCCAUUCUCAGAUGUUGGAGUUUGCUCGGGAAUUGUAUAGGAACUCCUCAUCAGAACCCAAUUUCAUACUUAUUUCCUCUGUAUAAUACAAUGGUACACUGCUACAAACCAACUUUGAAAGAGCUGUGGAAGAAAUAAGGUAUAAAUAAAAGCAUAAGCAC